rnacentral:lncRNA from 1 species
AGUCUACAAGUAUAAGUCACCACCACCUCCUUCCCCAAUUUACAAGUCACCAUCACCACCUUCUCCAGUAUACAAAUUACCUCCACCACCUCCUCCAGUUUACAAAUCUCCACCACCAUCAAUUUAUAAAUACAAGUCUCCUCCACUACCUCCUCCAGUGUACAAGUCAUCACCACCACCUGCUUACAAGUCUCCACCUCUUCCAGUUUACAGUUCCCCACCACCACCAAUCUACAAGUCUCCACCUCCACCCUACCAUUACUACUACAAUUCUCCUCCUCCUCCUCCUCGUCACUACUAAGCAAUUGUAUGCAAGUUUUUGAGGUAAUAACGCUUAACCAAUAAACUAACUUUCGCAUGAUAAAACUUAUCUCUAUCAAGACAAACUGCCAUGUGUAUCAUGCCAAAUACGUACACCUAGAUCCAUGAAAAUGAAUGGUAGAAAAUUUUCUUAAGAACUAAGGAACAGCAUUAGUAUUCCCUCUGCUUCCAAAAACUUGUGUAUUAAAUAGAUUAAUGAAUUGUUUAACAUGCUCAUUUACUUGAAAAUACACAAUACCCAUAACCUACUGAAUUUUUUGCAGGAAAAGGGAAAGACAAUCUGUGUUUGAGAGCUUCAUGAAGAUGUUGAAGAAUAAGAAUAAAAGCCCAAUGCGAGGAUGUUUCAAGUUUUUCUAUGUUUCCACUUUAAUUUGUAAAUUGAAUUUUGUGACUCAAUUAAUUCCCUGUUUGUGGGGUACGUGUUGUUUUACGUACCAUGCCGUACAGGUUUGUAAGGAUUUCUAUCCUAUUGGCAAAAGUCGGUUCCAUACAAUUAAUCAAUUCAUUUCACUUCUAUUGGCUCUACUAUUUAUGCAUGUUACGACAUUUUUUCUCUCUUUCCCUUAUAUUUUGCCUUUAAUAUUAUUGAAUCAAUAUUAAUAAUGGGCCUUUUUCUUAAAAUUAUACUAUUAUACAUAGGUUGUUUGGUCUAACGCUAAAUUCAUGUUUGUCUUUCUUUUAUUCCCUUUACAUCUCAAAGUAUACUAUAGUUUGUAAUCAUUGUGGUGAUGAUAUUGCCAGCUGGUACUUAUAGUUUAAGGCAGAGACAUGAUAUUAACAACUAUCUCAUUGAAACAUAAAGAAAAAUCAUGACAAGUGUGAGUCUUGGUUAAUGCACAAUUUGUUAGUGGAAUUUAUAUUUAUAAAACUCAAAAAAAAAUUUUGACAAUGCUAUUACUAAUUAAUUAAGGACUUUAUUGCUAUAAUUUAUCGCUUACUAGUUUAAACUAUAAAUGAUCUCAAUACUUUUCUCCAUGAUGUCGAUUUCUUUAGAUUACGAAAGGGAAAAAUUAGUGACAUAUCCCUUACUGAUUACAACAUCAGCAAAAAUUAGUUAUAAAUUUUUCCGGUGGUUUUAAAUCCCUCGGGCACUAAGAUUUUUUGCACAUCGAGUGAAUUGAGGAACAUAGGCAAUUCGUUCUGCAUACCAAGUCCUUGUUUAAGAUGCAAGUACUAAAAUGCAUCCACUUCAUUAAUUUGGGAAAUUGCCAUAGUUUUUUUUAAGCAUUUUGAUUUUUUACAUGAUUCAAAAUUUUCUUAUUGGAUACAAUCACUUUGUAUCAAGAACAUUUUCAAUCAUCCUUUUUAUCUUCUCAAUAAGAAAAUAAAAAUUUAUUCAUGCUUUUCUAACAUAUCCAAUCAUUGAUCUGAAAAAUAAAGAAUUUAAAAAAAAAGACAUUUUCAAUCAUUGCUUACAGGGCAACUUCCCCAUGUGAACCUCUUCAAACAAAGCCAAUAAUAUGAAGGAACAUCUAAAUACACUUUUGCCCUAAAGGCUGGUUGCCUUGGGGUCAAAAUUUAACCUUCGGGAGUAUAAUUACCCUGCCAAAUUUAUUAUUUUUUAUGGGUAUAUAGUUCCAAUUUUUCCUCCUGUUAAGCUUAUAAAUAUAUUAUCACCCAGAAAAUAAAGGAAUCUUGAAUACUAACAUGUCCAUUUACUUGAGUUGUCAUCAAUUUGGCUACUUCGAUUCCAUGAGGGCAAUCCAAUUCACACUUGCUAGAGAAAAUGGUGAUAAAGGCACAAAGAAAAUUAUAUGUAAUAUUGAUUGGUAGUAACCACCUUGUAUUGAUCCCACUAUUGUGGAUACUCGUGCUCUUAUGAAAAAAAAUUAUAAAAAAUUAGCAAAAUUUAAAAGAACAAAGUAAAUUUAUUCGUACAAAUCAGUCAAAGAAGUAGCAUUUUAAAGACCAUGAUGAAAUUAAUACUUUCAAGGUCUCUAUUAGGAAGACUUCCUUUGUUGGUGAAACUACACUAGGUACGGUUACAUGCAGAUGUUUACUGUUUUGGUACCUAAUUUCCUUGCCUUGAGUUGGGUGCAGAUGUUUAUAUUACAAAUAGAUGGUAUCAUAAAUUUGUUGUAUUAACGUCUGUUCUUUUUUUUCUUCCUUAAGUUUUUUUCUUUAUUCUCGUGACUUCAAAAAUACGAACUCAAGAAAUUAACUGCUUCGACAUUAAGGUAUAACUUCACAACUAGAGCCAAUAGAAAUCGUCAAAUGAUUUUUUGACAUCCAAAUUAAGCAAUAAAUUUUGUUUUCAUUUCACGGGAGAUUUUAUAGUUUCUUUUGGGUAUCAUACCUACAAGUGAUAAUUGUCAUUGGAUAGUGAAAGAAGUGUUAAUGAUUGUAAGAUUAAAUAUUGAAAAUUUAAACUAUUUAUCUUUAUUGAGAGAUACAACUUAAAGAAUCGUAUCCAAAAGAGACUAUAGAAUUUUCUCUGUUUUUCAUCAUCUGUAGACAUAAACUUUCUACGGUUGAUGUACUAUAAGGAAAUUUUGCCUAUACAAUGUGAUACCAUUUUUUCAAAAAGACAAGAUGGCAAAUUGCCCCCUUGAACGGAAAAAAUCAUGAUCUUUCCUCAAACUAGUCUACUUGUCAAUUCUUUGAAAAAGAAUACACUGCCCCGCAGAAUUCUAGAAAGUUAGGCAAAACUAGACAAGUUGACAGCUAUAAUCAUACCCAAGAUCAGGAACAAGCAGUUACACAUUUCAAAAUUCGCUGCUGCAACAACUAAUUUGAUGACUUACAACACUAAAUGGUCAAACUUUGAAUGGCAAUGAAUCUUUUGUUGUACAUCAUGAUGUAAUUUUCAUGUUACAUAAUAGAUUGAUAUCUAUGUUCUUUAAAUUAUCAUAAUAAUUAAAUUUAACUGAUAAAAAGAACACAUAUCAAUACACAAAAGUGUGUAACGUGAAUGUUAUAUUAGUGUAUUGCAGAAGACCUAUAGUCUCUUCACAUCUCUUCCUGCAUCUUUUAUGUUUUAUUACCUCCAAAAGCCUUUACAGGGUCUUUACCCUAAAAAUCAAUUCACCGACUCGCAUUUGAUGUCAGAAAUUCUUAAGACGAAUUCUACUUUACUCAAAGAUUGACUGUUAAUAAUGAGACAACGACCAUUUUGUAUUAUUACACCGUCCUUCUUGAUAGGCAAAAGAAAUAGAGAGGAAAGCGGGUCCGUAUAUGGUCUUUUAUUCAUAGAUAAUACAACAUUACGCCAUCGAGCAUUCACACAAUAUUUCAAAGUCAUUGCAUGCCUAAAGCCCCGCUUGAUAAUCCAAUUUCAUACUUAAAUUUAAUGGAUUCAAAUUUUAACACAUUCAAAUUGUUUGAUAACAAAAAAUUGAACGUCUAAAUUAAUUAAGUAACACUAAAUUUUUUAGACAAAACUUGCUCCCAAAAUUAAGUGAUAAGCUAUAUCACUUAUCACUGAAUGUGAUAUGCAUUCAAAUGUAUUAUAUUUAAUACUUAAUAAUUUAAUAAUUUAAUGGAUUCAAAAUUCAGAUUUUAGAUUUCAGUUUUAUCAAACAUACCCUAAGUUGCAAAAUAAUACCAAAACUUGUUAUUAUAUAGCUUGAGAUUCAAAAAUUUAGAGCAUAAUUCUCAACCUAACACAAUUGAAUAAUGAAUAUUCACGAUUGUCAAAUCUAUCAAAGUACAAUUUGAGGACAACCCAUUCCAACGCGUACACAAUUUCUCACUUUUCUAAAGUUGUUGAGAGCUGUUAAAAGAGAUUUACCAUGUUUACAUCUUCCAAGUCUUGGGAGUAAAAAAUGAAGCCACCGAGUGCUAUAAAAAGGGGGCUAGAGGCUGCCUAGAAGCAUAUCAGCCUAAAACAAGAAUUUGUAGUAACAAUGGGGAGCAAAGCAAAAGCAACGGGGUCUAGGCUGACUCCUCUUCUUACCACUGUUUUAGUGGUAUUUGUCGCCCUUGGCUUGCCCUUGGAAACUGCAGCUGAUUAUUACAAGUAUUCAUCUCCUCCUCCUCCUCCUUACCACUAUUCUUCACCACCACCUCCAGUGUAUUCACCUCCACCAACCCCUGCUUAUAAGUUACCCCCACCAUCUCCUCCAGUUUACAAGUCCUCACCACCACCUUACCACUACUCACCACCUCCGGUGUAUUUACCUCCACCAUCUCCAGUUUACAAGUCACCACCACUACCCCCUCCGGUAUACAACUCCCCGCCUCCACCAGUGUACAAAUACAAGUCCCCACCACCACCUCCUCCAGUUUACAAAUCUCCACCGCCACCAGUUUACAAAUACAAGUCACUCCCACCACCUCCUCCGGUAUACAAGUCUCCUCCGCCACCUGUUUACGAGUACAAGUCUCCUCCACCACCUCCUCCAGUGUACAAGUCCCCACCACCUCCAGUUUACAAGUACAACUCACCUCCACCUCCUCCCCCAGUUUACCUGUCUCCACCUCCACCCUAUCAUCACUACUACGGUUCUCCUUCUCCUCACCACUACUAAGCAAGUGCAUAAGUUUUGAGGUAAUAAUACCUAUCCAAAACUUUAUCAACACAAACUGCCAUGUAUAUCAUGCUAAGGACGUACACUUGAUCCAUGAAAAUGACUAGUAGAAGAUUUUUUUUAAGAACCAAAGAAAUACAUUAUUUUUUCGGUCUGUUUUCAAGAAUUUGAGCAGUAUACAGAUUAAAGAGUGUUUUUUUUUUUGUAAACUUGCUUGUCAACUUAAAAAUGCACAUAGCUGAAAGCCAACUGAAUAUUUGCAGGCAAAGGAGAAGGCAAUCGGUGUUUGAGACCUUCAAGAAGAUGUAGAAGAAUAAGAAUAAAAGCCCAAUGCGAGGAUGAUUCCAAGUUUCUACGUUACCAUUUCUACAUCUAAAUUGACUUUAGCUCCUGAGUUCCAUGUUUAUGGGGUUUGUACCGUUUUACGUACCAUGCAGUACAUGCUUGCAAGGUUUUCUGUCCUGUUGGCAAACUGCAGGUCCAUAUAAUAAAUGAAUACUAUUUACAUUACGACACUUUUCUCUUUUUCUCUUAUAUUUUGUCUUUAAUAUUGUUGAUCAUUUUUUUUUUAUCAAAAGCAUCAAAUGCUUAGGUAAUUUGGUCUAAUGCUAAUUGUUUUACUUUUAUUUUUCACCUACACCCCUUUUCAACUCAAAGGAUGCUAUAGUUUGUGAUAAUUGUUUAAGACCGAAGCAUGAUACUAAUAAAUAUCUCAUUGAAAGUCAAGGAAACUAACAUUAGGAAAAGUUUAAAUCUUGAUUUGAUGAAACUAUUUAUUCGUGGAAUUUAGAGAUACAAAACUCAAAUUGUGACGGUGUUGUUGCUAAAUUAUUAAGGACAUUAUCACCAUUAUUUUUCCCUGAUCACUAGUUUCAACUGCAAUGAUCUCAAUCUUUUUGUGACUAAUUCUUUCCUUAAUAAUUUAUAAAGACAAAACUCACAAAGAAUAUGUGACUAAUUCUUUCCUUUCGUCUUCUAAAGAAAAUGCCAACUGUUAGUUUAUCAAGGGGAAAAAGGAUCGACAUCAGUUAUUAUUGAAACUAGUAAGGAAUAAAUAAUGGUGAUAAUGUCCUUAAUAAUUUAACAACAGCACCAUCAGAAUUUGACUUUGAGCUUCGGUCUUAAACAAUGAUCACAAACUACAGCAUCCUUUGAGUUGAAAAAGGAAGUAGGUGAAAAGAAAAGUAAAAAAUACAAUUAGCAUUCCCUCAAAUUGUAGAAAGUUAGGUAGCAUUAUAGACAAGUUGAUAGCGGCAAUUUUACAUUUCAAACUUCACCUAUUCAAUAACUAAUUCGAUGGCUUGCUACAUGGUCAAUCUUUGGACCCCUUCCUGCCUCCAGAUAUCCCUUUCCUCAAUCAGGGGCUUCUACAAUUACCAGUUUCAAUUGUAUGGUAUAGUGUAAAUAUCAACAAAUUAGAUGUAGAUGCUAACAUAAUAAAUGUGAAUGCUAAGACAGCAACAUACAAUCGAACCUGCAAUUGUAUGAACCCCAAUCUCGCUUCCUAGUCCACCAUCUUUCUCUAGGUAAUAAUCUCCCUUCUAAUUUAUUCACAAAAUGCACCUUUCAUCACCUCCAAUAGCGUCGACAUGAUCUUUACCCUAGAAGACUAUUCACCGACUCUCAAUUGACGUCAGAAAAUCUAAGAGUAAUUCUACUUUACCCUAAGAUUGAUAUCAACAAGACAAGGACAAUUUAGAAUUAUUACACGCCUCUUCUUAAUAGGAAAAAGAAAUAGAGAAGAAAGUCAGGCCAGGUCUAAUUUCUUUUCAAAGGCAAUACAACAUUACGAAAUCAAGCAUUCAUUCAUACAAAUAUUUCAUAGUCACCGGUUUGCUGAGUAGAAAAAUUUAGACAAAAACUUAAUAUUAUAUUGUUUAAGAGUUAACAAUUUAGAGCUUAAUCUCCUUGUACUUUGGAGUUAACAAUUUAGAGCUUAAUCUCCUUGUACUUUGGACUAAACUUGAACGUGAAAGGAAAUCCCAAAACCAUAUUGGGCAUGAAUUCACACUUAAUAUACCCAAUAAAAGAUGGCGACUGGUGAAAGGCAGUGGAGACUGGUGGAGAGAUUUGAGGAAUAGAAGCAGACGGAAAAGCAACAAAUUUUUGCCGAAAAACGGUCACUUUCAUGGUUAAUUUUGCUACUCUCCAAUUGUACUUGACCAAUUACAACAAUUUCAUGGAGUUUGAUACGUGAAAAGAAUUUUUUAUAAAUUUUAUUUUGAUCCAUAAUGUUAUCUUUACAUAUAUAAAACAUUUUACAAUUUUGAUUUUGGCGCAGCUAACUUUUGGUUAACAAAAAUGCUCAUGUUUAAAAAACCAGAAAUAAAACAAAACAAGAAACAAAAGAAAUAAGAGGGUAGCAUAGACAUUUUGGAUUUUUCCGUUAAUUUGGAUGAUUUCCACCCACGUUCUAAUUUAAUCCAAAACACAAAGGAAUUACGUAGAGGUUUUAAAUAAUCAGGGAGCUUCAUGAUCGAACCCCAAACCACGUGAUAGCAUACAAGAGUUCUAUUUCACUAUCGGUAGACAAAGACUUUCUAUGGUUGAUGUACCGUAGGAAAAAAUCUGCCUAUACAACGUGAUAGCAUUUUUUCAAAAACACAAGAUGGAAAAUUGCCCCCUUAAACGUGGAAAUUCAUGAUCUUUCCUCGAACAAAGAAUACUCACGCCUAUUCAAGAUGGAAAAUUGCCCCCUUAAACGUCUAUUUGUCAAUUCUUGAAAAAAGAAUACUCACGCCUAAAACACGGCCUCUUCAUCUGCAGAAUUCUAAAAAGUUACGUAAACUCUAUAAACAAGUUGAUAGGUACAAUCGUACCCAAGAUCAAGUACAGAUAGUUGUACAUUCACUGCUGCAAUAACUAAUCUGAUGACUUACAAACAUAUCAUGGUCAAUCGUUGAAUGGUAAUGAGUCUUUUGUUAUGCAUUAGUAUUAGUGUGUACACUCUAAUAGAUUGAUACUUAUACUCUUUAAAUUAUCAUAAUAAUACCCUUAAUUAACUUUAACUCUUAAAAAGAAUACGUGUUAAUACACGAGAGUGUGUAACCUGAAUUGUUACUUAUACAUUAGUGUGUAAUAGAUAGGGAUGGCAGUGAGGGCGAGUGCCCGCGGGGGGCUCUCGGGGCGGGGGCGGGGGAGAAUUUUUUCCCCCCGUUUAGAAACGGGGCAGGGGACGGGGGAGUAUACCCCCGCCCCAUCCCCCGCCCCGCCACCCGCAAAAAAAAUUAUAUAUAUAUAAUUAUAUAUAAUAUGUAAUUUAAUUAGUUAUAAACUUAUGAUAAUGAUAUUAUUAGUUAGAUGUAUUAUAUAAUGUAUAUUAGUGUAUGUAAUAUAAUUAAUAUUAUCAAUUAUACGAAUAAUUAGACAUGUCCACUAAUAGAGUUUAUUAAUUAGUUAUACUAAAUUUACUAAUACAUUUGUACUAAAUUUCUAAUUACACUUAAUAGAAUAACACUUUUUUCUAAAAAAAAAAGCACAAACACAAUAAUGAAUUAGUGAUUGUAUUUGUACCAAAAGUGAAAACUUAACUAUUUUAGUUGUAUUUAUUUCAUCAUGUUGGAUUGUAUUCAAAUAAUUUUUGUUUGAUUGUUUUUAUGAGUUUCAAUUGUAAAAUUAAAAUGAAUAAUAACUUGAUGAUGUGUUGAUAUUUUAGUACUUGAUUAUUUAUUGAUUUAACUAUAAUAAAAUUUUAUUUUAUUAAAAUUUAACUAUAAUAAAAUUUUAUUAACCAAACGAGUUAUUAAUCCCGCGGGGGCACCCACGGGGGAAGCGGGGCGGGGCGGGGGAGUGGGAGGCGGGGGACGGGGCGGGGGUGGGGGGAGUUGUAGGUAGCGGGGCGGGGGAUGGGGGAGGGGUCCCCCGCCCCAACCCCGCCAUCCCCCGCCCCGUUGCCAUCCCUAGUAAUAGACUGGCAAGCAUUGUGGUGGUCAUUGAGAACUUACUGGAGAAAUAGUCCUAUAAGCUGUUCAAUGAGCAAUCACAACUUGCUAAUUGGAUGACUAAUAUAGCUCUAGCUGUAAUGUUUUAAUUAAAUUACAUCACUAACGUUGGGAUGACUUUUUAACCAAAAAAAAAUGCCUUAGUUCAAGCUUUUCCCUUUAUUGUGCAUUUUUUAAAGCAUUUGAUAGGCACUGCAAAUCUGUCAUUUUGGACAUUUUAUUAUUGACUAACAAUGAAAGCCGUGACGUCUACCCAUAACCAACACAAGAUUAAAUUAAUAUUAGAAAAAAUAAUUGAGUAAUUGGAAAAAAAAAAAGAGACUCAUUUUCAUUGAAACCCACCGACAAACUAAACGUGUCCAUGGCUUUUGAAUAGUGCAUUCAACGUUUAAUUGUAUAGUCCAGUUCAUUGCAGAUUACAUGGAGUAAAGAUUGUGCUCUUUCCUUUUUCACCCCUUUUGGAAUCGAUACUGUGGAGAAUUGGGUUUUUCCCUUCUUUUUUUCUUUUCUUUCCUUCUGUGCUUUGCAAAACAUAGGUAAAAAUAUGAAAUCCGAAGCAUUCUUUAAUUGGGAUUAAGUAUUGUUGUUGAAAUUAAAAAGAAAAAAGAAAGAACAACAAAAUUCCCAAUCUGGGUUGAUUGUUGAGCUCUAGAUUGGUUGCAUCGUGCUUCCAUAGAAGCUCUCUUAGUGUGAUACACUGCUUUCAAUCAGUUUAACACGGGAAAAAAAAAAAAAGAGAUGAAAAGCAAAUUUGGUGGGGAUAAUUUCAGAAACCUCCCCUGAAGAUUUUGACUAUUCUACUGGUCUCCCUUCAGAUUUUAAAAAUUACACUAAUCUUCCUUGAAGUUAAUUAUCUUGUAACAUUUAAAUUCAAUCAAUAAUUUAAAAAAUGAUAUUAUGAGAGAGAAAAUAAUGAUUUUAUCAUUGCCCCCCAUCUUACUACAUUAUUUAAUUAAUUUAAUAGCAACCCACACAUUAAAGAAAAAUAUUAAAAUUUGUUGUUUAUCAUUAAAGAUCAAAUCGCUUAUAACAUCAAAUAAUAGUAUAUUAUUUAUAUUUUUCACUCAAUAUAAUAUCCAAAUUACUCUUUUCAAUUACAUACCCAUUGUUAGACAAUCAACAACAAAUAACCAAAAAAUUUGCAACCAAAAUAUUACAAAAAAAUAAACUUUAACAUAUAAAUAUUCUUAUCAACAUAUUAAAGUUAGUUACUGAAAUUUUUAUGCUGUUAAACUUCACUCUUUUUGGUUACAGAUUUUUUUGAUUAUUUGUUAUUAAUUAUGUUUGAUGAUGGAUUUAUAAUUGAAAAGAACAAUUUGAAACUUACAUUAAGUAAAAUAUAUAGAGUGAUAUACUAUUUUUUAUAACAUAUGUGAUUCAAUCCUUCUUGAUAGGAUUGGUAAUAGAGGUAGAGGGGGGAGCCGGCUGCAUCCGGUCUACUUUUCAUAGAUAGUACAAUAUUGCGAAAUCGAUCGCAUUCACGCAAUAUUAUUUCCAAGUCAUUGCAUGGCUAAGCUGCAAAAAAAGUACGAACACAUGUUAUUAUAUAGCUUACGAUUCAAAACUUUAGAGCAUAACCCUCCACCUAACACAAUUGAAUAAUGAACAUUCACGUUUGUCAAAUCUGUCAAAGCACAGUUUGAGGACAACCCAUUCCAACCUGCAAAAGAUUUUUUACUUUUCUAAAGUUGUUGAGAGCUGUAAAAAGACUUACCAUGCUUGCAUCCUCCGAGCCUUGGGAGUUAAAAAUGAAGGCACUGAGUGCUAUAAAAAGGGGAAUAGAGGCUGCCUAGAAGCAUAUCAGCCUAAAACAAGAAUUUGUAGUUAAGAUGGGAAGCAAAGCAAAAGCAAUGGGGUCUGGGCUGACUCCUCUUCUUGCCACUGUUUUAGUGGUGUUUGUUGCUCUUGGCUUGCCCUCACAAACUGCAGCUGAUGAUCACUACAAGUAUUCAUCUCCUCCUCCUCCUUACCACUAUCCCUCACCACCACCACCAGUGCAUAUACCUCCACCUCAUCCUGUUUACAAGUACAAAUCUCCACCACACCCCCAGUACAAGUAUAAGUCACCACCACCACCUCCUCAUCCGGUAUACAGUCUCCUCCGCCACCACACACCCAGUUUACAAGUACAAGUCACCACCACCACCUCCUCAUCCGGUACCACACCCAGUUUACAAGUAUAAGUCUCCUCCGCCACCAGUUUACAAAUACAAGUCUCCUCCACCACCACCUCCAGUGUACAAAUACAAGUCUCCACCACCACCAGUUUACCACUACAAGUCUCCACCACAGUUUACAAAUACAAGUCUCCACCACCACCCCCAGUUUACAAAUACAAGUCUCCACCACCACCAGUUUACCACUACAAGUCACCACCACCUCCUCCCCCAGUUUACAAAUACAAGUCUCCACCACCUCCUCACCACUACUAAGCAAUUGCUUCUGAGGUAAUAACACUUGUUCAAUAUACCCACUUCUGCAUGAUAAAGCAUAUCUCUAUCAACACAAACUGUCAUGUCUAUCAUGCUAAGUGCCUUCACUUCAUCCACCAAAAUGACUGCUAGAAAAUUUUUUUUAUGUUACCAAAGAAAGGCAUCAUUUUUUCCCUCUGUUAUCAAGAACUUGUACAGUAUAUAGAUUAAAGAGUAUUUUUUUAACUAGCUUAUCAACUGAGAAAUGCAUAUAGCUGAUAGCCAGCUGAAUAUUUGCAGGCAAAGGAGAAGGAAACCAGUGUUUGAGACCUUCUUGAAGAUGUAGAAGCAUAAGAAUUAAAGCCCAAUGUGAAGAUGAUGAUUUCAAGUUUUUCUACGUUACCAUUUCUUUAUCUAAAUUGGUUGUAGCGCCUUAGUUCCUUUGUUUAUGGGAUUUGUAUCGUUUUACGUACCAUGCAGUACAUGUCAUGUUUGUAAGGUUUUCUAUCCUGCCGGCAAACCGCAGGUUCCAUGUAAUAAAUCAAUACUAUUUAUAUUACGACACUUUUCUCUGUUUCUCUUAUAUUUUGUCGUCUUUAAUAUUCUUAAUCAUAUUUUUAACAAAAAUAUUCAAACACUUAGGCAAUCUGGUCUAAUGCUAAUUGUAUGUUUUACUUUUCUUUUUCACCUGCUCCCCUUUUCAACUCAAAAGGAUGCAAUAGUUUGUGAUCACUGUUUAAGACGGAAGCAUGAUACUAAUGAAUAUCUCAUUGAAACUCAAGGAAACUAACAUUGCGAAAAGUGUAAAUCUUGAUUUGAUGCAACUAUUUAUUCGUGGAAUCUAUAGUUACAAAACUCAAAUUCUGACUGCGCCAUUGAUAAAUUAUUAAUGACGCUAUCAUCAUUAUUUAUCCCUAACUAGUUUCGACUACAACUGAACCCAAUAUUUUCCCCAUGAUAAAAGUUUUUGACUAUUUUACUGGCCUCUCUUCAAAUUUUAAAAAUUACACUAAUCUUCAUUGAGAUUAAUUAUCUUGUAACAUUUAAGUCCAAUUAAUAAUUAAAAAAUGAUAUUAUGAGAGAGAAAAUAAUAUAAUUUUAUCAUUGCCCCCCAUCUUGCUAUAUUAUUUAAUUAAUUUAAUAGCAACCCACACAUUAAAGAAAAAUACUAAAAUUUGCUGCUUUUCAUUAAAGAUCAAAUUGCAUAUGCCAUAAAACAUAGUAUAUCAUUCUAUAUGUUUCACUUAAUGUAAGAUCCCAAUUGUUCUUUUCAAUUACAAACCCAUUGUCAAUAACAAAUAACCAAAAAAUUUGCAACCAAAAUAUUACAAAAAAAAACUUCAACAUCAUAAAUAUUCUUACCACCUCUAGUGCAUUCACCCUCAUAAAAUAAUUCAAGACCCUACUGUCAUAAAAUGACUGAUCAACUCCCGUAAACCUAAUUUGACAACAUUUAAAUGGAGAACUUUAGCUAAAAGAAUUAUGGUCAAGCUAAAGAAAAAACCAGUUAUUUUCCAACAUAUGCAAUCAUUGAUCAGGGAAAAAAAAAAGAGCAAAAAGACAUCUUCAAUCAUUUAAUAGCUUACAGGGCAAAUUAACCCCUAAGCGAAAACUGGUUGCUCUAGAAUCAAAAUUUUACUUUAGUUACCCAGGCAACUUUUUUGUUGCUUUUUUUUUUUUUUUCCUUUAGUUUUGCCCCCUCUGUCAAGCUUAUAAAAUUAUUAAGAUAAUAAAAGUGCCUUGAAUAGUAUUAAUAUAUCCAUUGACUUGAGCUGUCGUCAGUUUGCGAUUCCAUGAGGCCUUUUCAAAGUACUCAGAAAAUGGGGAGUCAUGAAAUCCAUUUGUUCUAUUCAUUGCUAAGAUGCUUUUCUCUAUAAAGAGACUUCCUAACGAAAAUACUUUGUAGAUUUCUUUACUCCAAGUGGUGCAUGGAAAAUUAAUAUUUUCAAUUAUCAAAUAAAAUUCCCUUUUUUCGGCGUAGAUUUCAUCCAUCCAGCUGUUAACACAUUCUAUAAAUCCGAAUUGACUAAUCUUUUCGUUUCCAUUUUCCAACUUGCGAAUACGGCAUAUAGUGUCUGCUAAACACUAUAUAUUCUCUGCCAAAUAUGAAUACAUAUCACUUUUCUGAGCAAGUGCAGAGUCAUUAUCAUUUUUAUUCCCACCUAACAAAUUAGGGAUAAAAAAGUUAAUAAUCUUUACAUGCUAUCAGGUCACAAGUUAAUAAUCUUUUAAAGAACAUGUUAAAUUAAUUUAUUGGUAUGAAUAGUAGUCAAAGAAGUAUGUUAAAGUUAGUAAUCUUUAAAAUAAUAUGUUAAAAUCAUUCGUACAAAUUAGUCAGAGAAGUAGCAUAAACACCGCGAUGCAAUUAAUACUUUCAAUCUCAAGGUCUCUAUUAUGGAAAUUUGCAUCGGUCAAUAUACACUUGGCAUAAUAUAAUCUCCCAACUCAUUUCUUUACAAAUGCACCUUUAAUCACCACCAAAAGGUGUGGACAUGAUCUUUACCCUAGAAAACUAUUCACCGACAGGCAAAUUGACGUCAGAAAUACUGAGGAAUUCUAGUUUCCUUCGGGUUCAUGCCAUGUUGUAUCCUUCAACUGUAACUCGAUUUCUAAGCUGUAAUUUGUGACAUAAUAGUCCUUAAACUAUGAAACCCUUCUUACUUAAUUACAAUGGUUAAUACAAUGCCCGUGACUAGACAAGUAUGAAGCAACCAUAACAGAAAAAAAAUCCAAAAUUAGAGAAAAGAAAGAAGUUUCGCGACCACCACCAGUUUACAAGUCACCUCCACCACCUCCUCCAGUUUACAAGUCACCUCCACCACCUUACCAUUAUUCCUCACCACCACCUCCAGUGCAUUCACCCCCACCACCACCAGUUUACAAGUCUCCGCCACCACCUUACCAUUAUUCCUCACCACCACCUCCUGUGCAUGCACCUCCACCACCAAUUUACAAGUCACCUCCUCCAGUUUACAAGUCUCCACCACCACCUUACGAUUAUUCCUCACCACCACCUCCAGUGCAUUCACCCCCACCACCACCAAUUUAUAAGUCUCCCCCACCGCCUCCCCCAGUAUAUAAGUCACCACCACCACCUCCUCCAGUAUACAAAUCACCUCCACCACCUCCUCCAGUUGACAAAUCUCCACCACCACCAAUUUAUAAAUACAAGUCUCCUCCACUACCUCCUCCAGUGUACAAGUCAUCACCACCACCUGCUUACAAGUCUCCACCUCCUCCAGUUUACAGUUCCCCACCACCACCAAUCUACAAGUCUCCACCUCCACCCUACCAUUACUACUACAAUUCUCCUCCUCCUCCUCGUCACUACUAAGCAAUUGUAUCCAAGUUUUUGAGGUAAUAACGCUUAACCAAUAAAUUAACUUUCGCAUGAUAAACCUUAUCUCUAUCAAGACAAACUGCCAUGUGUAUCAUGCCAAAUACGUACACCUAGAUCCAUGAAAAUGAAUGGUGAGGAGGGCCAUUUAGGCUCGGAGCGCCCUAGGCCUAGUUCCCCACCAUUUCCUGAAGUGCCGCCUCGGGUAUUAUCCUGGAAGGCGAUCGCGGCCCAUUUACCACCUCGGCUACAAUGUCAGGUCGUAACACCGAGGUGGACAUUGAAUGACAACUACGAAAAGGGGAGAUGUGAUCUCUGACACCUGAGCAAAGGCUGCUCUGACCCGCCGCCUGAAUCUGACAGAAUGUCCCAUCACGUCUCUUCAUGGAGACCGGUCAAGUCCACCUGAUCCACUGACUAUCUCAGAUCUUUUGGGACCCGUGCAAACAUCUCCUCUCUCCUAUCAGUCCCCUAUAAAUACACGAUACUUCUACUGAAAAAGGAGAUGACCAAUUUCUGGUAAAACACACUCCACUCAUUAUUUACUUCUCUAUAUCCGAACUGACUUAAGCUUCGGAGUUAUACCGGGGGAUCCAGCCCCUUUCUUAUCCAAGCAGGUGACUUCGUCCAAGAGAGUUGCCCAAGGUAAAGAUAUUCUUCCAAUUGAGGUGACUCACUCCUGCGGGUCGAAAAUCACCUCUUCAAUUGGCGCCGUCUGUGGGAACCGCAAAGAUAUUAGAAGAUGAAGCCUGCGCGUUCUAGAAGCAGAAAAGCUCUCACUAUCGAGGCUGGGCAAAGCAAUGCAGCUCAACAAGAAAAUAUUUCUGAAGGGCAGGAGUCCCCAAGGACUCAGCCCGCAAACGAAAAAGCCAUAACCCGUAUGGCCGAGUUUGUGACCGAGAACCCCAACAUCUUUGAAGAGUUGGGAAGAUACCUGAAGAGGCAAGGCAAACAAAAGGCCGAGUCCUCUAAAAGGAUGUCAGAUGGGUCUCUUGAGGACUCAUCUGAGGAGGAGUCGGAUGGAAGGCACUUAAGCCGAAGUGCCUCAAAGCGAGCAUUUUCUAAGGCCACUUCUAAGGUAGCCUCCCUGACCAAGGCGUUUUCCCGAGGGCUCUUGGGCCGACGACCCGAGGAAGAACCUCGGCCCUUGGGAAUACCCGGGGUGGACUGCAUGAGGGCUCCACCGUUCACGGAUGAUAUAAACGAGGAAAGGCUUCCUCCCAAUUUUAAGCUCCCCGCAGUACAAUCUUACGAUGGCCGAGGUGAUCCCGAGAAUCACAUCCAUACCUUCAUCUCGGCCUUCCAAAUAUACUGCAUCCCAGACCCUGUCAUAUGUCGGGCCUUUCCAGUAUUCCUCAGAGGAACUGCUCGAAAAUGGUUCUGAGCUCUAGAACCUAGGAGCAUUUCGACCCUGGGUGAAUUAGUGGAGAAGUUUCUCCACCGAUUUGUCUCCUCCCGACCUACGACUAGGACCUCGGCUUACCUGCUCACCGUGCAGCAGAACCCGGGAGAGUCACUCCGGUCGUACGUCCGGAGGUUCCAUGAGGAAAGCGUUCAGAUACCUGACCCCAAUGAGCAGGUAACCCUCGCUGCCUUUACCCAUGGACUCGUUGCCGGGGAGUUCAAUACGGGGAUCCAUAAAAAAUACCCCCGCACACUGCAUGAAUUGUGGUUGAAGGUUGAAAAGGGCAUACAGGCCGAAGACCUCCAUCGCAUGAAGAAAGAGGUCCAAGCCACCCGUCCAAGGGCUGAGCCCAGAAAGGGAAAAGACGCUGGCCGAACUGAAGUAGGGUCGGGAAGUGGCUUCCGAAGUCCUGGCCGAGACCGCCGCAGCGUGUUCGACAGGAUAUCCAAGGGGAAGUCACCUAUUCCCGAGUCCGAGUUGACUCCUUUAAAUACUACCCGAUCUCACGUGUUGUCCGUGAUGGAACAAAACAACCUCGGCAAGGGCCCGCCGAGGAUGUUUGGAAGCAGAGACAAGAGGAACUCGAACCUCUACUGCUUGUAUCAUCGUGACAUUGGUCACGAAACUGAGGAUUGCAACGAUCUCAAGAAGGAGAUCGAGAACCUCAUUAGACGGGGACACUUGAAACAGUUCAUCCGCAGAGGUGGAGGUCACCAACGUGACGAAAACCGGCAUGACAAAUGAGGUGACCAACGCCGAGAUGAGCGGCGGAGCUCCAGAAGCAGUUGCCGACCUCCUGAGGAUCCCAGGGAGACGAAAAGGCCUCCCCCAGACGGAUCUUCGGGACAUGGGCCAACCAUUGCCCGGGUCAUUAACACCAUUGCCGGAGGUCCGACGGGAGGGGACAGUCAGAACUCCCGGAAGAGAACCUAUAAGCAGGCUAACCCGGAUCAGGCCGAGUCGAGUUCUCGCCUGUCCGAGGUGAUCACCUACGGGCUCAGUGAUCCCAUCCCAGCUGCAUCCAGCAGUCAUGAAACCUUGGUGAUUGAAGUCCUCACCAAUAACUACAUUGUGAAAAGGUCUACAUAGACCCGGGAAGUUCAGUUGACGUCAUGUACCUCCGUACCUUUGAGAGCCUUAAAAUGGCUAAGGGGUGCAUGACCCCGCUGAGAACCCCUCUUGUAGGGUUCGGGGGACACGUGGUGCACCCCGAAGGGAUGGUGACUCUGACAGUGACCAUAGGGCAUCACUCUCGCUGUAGAACCGUCCCUGUCAAUUUUGUGGUGGUUAAGGCUGACUCCCCAUACAACCUACUUUUAGGUCGGCCUACGCUCAAUGCCUUGCGGGCGGUCUACUCCACCUACCACCUGAGCUUCAAGUUUCCUACCCCAGCAGGGGUGGCCGAGGUCAGCAGCGACGUCUGUGCUGUCCGGGAGUGCUACCUCGCCACCCUACAAGCAGCCUCCCCGUCUACCUCCGGUGCGAGGUCCGAGAAGAGGUCAAAUAUCCUCUCAAUAGAUAGCAUCGAUCCUCAGUGAGCUGAGAAGGUCCCGAGGCUGGAGACUGGGGAUGAGGUGGAAGAGAUUCCCCUGGACCCCACGAAACCUGAUCAGACAGUUCGCGUUGGUACCCGAUUGCCCGGUCCUAUCCGAAGAGGUAUGAUGGACCUCCUCAGGGAAUACCGGGACGUCUUUGCUUGGGCCGCCGAAGAGGUCCAAGGAGUCCCGCACCAUCUCAUGAUGCAUGACUGAACGUCGACCCCCAAGUCCGUCCGGUCAAACAGAAGAGAAGGCACAUCGGCCCUGAGCGCAGCCAAGCUGUUGGUGAGGAAGUGGACAAGCUUUUACCCGCUAAAAUAAUCCGAAAAGUCCAAUACCCGAUCUGGUUGUCUAACUCGGUCAUGGUCAAGAAGGAUACGGGGGCUUGGAGAAUGUGCGUCGAUUUUACCGACCUCAACAAAGCCUGCUCCAAGGAUUGCUACCCCUUGCCCAAAGUCGAUACUUUGGUAGACUCAGCAAUGGGCUACGAGAUCCUCUGUUUCUGGGAUGCAUUCAAAGGCUAUCACCAAAUUGGGAUGAGUCAAGAAAACCAGGAGAAAACGGCCUUCUACACCGACCGCGGCACGUACUGUUAUACUACCAUGCCAUUCGGGUUGAAGAAUGCCGGAGCCACUUAUCAACGCUUGGUCAACCAAGCAUUCAAGUCUCAAAUCGGCCGGAAUGUUGAGGCCUAUGUAGAUGACAUCCUCCUCAAAAGCCAGACGAACUCCACCUUCCUGGCCGACUUGAAGGAGGUCCUUGACAUCCUGCGGAAGGUGAAAAUGAUGCUGAACCCCAAGAAAUGUGUUUUUGGGGUCACCUCGGGGAAAUUUCUAGGUUACCUCGUCUCAAGGCGAGGUAUCGAAGCAAAUCCGGAUAAGGUGCGAGCCAUCCAGGAGAUGUCUCCACCCCGGUGCGUCCGCGAUGUCCAAAGGCUGACAGGGCGAUUAGCCGCCCUGAAUCGGUUCUUAUCGCAGUCGGCAGCUAAAGCACUGCCCUUUUUCAAAGUGUUGAAGAAAGCUGACCAUUUCUCCUGGACGGAAGAGUGUCAACAGGCGUUUGAGCAGUUGAAGGAUUACCUUCACUACCUUCCAACGCUCACCUCACCUCGUCCGGGGGACAAAUUAAUCUUAUACCUUUCUGCUGCGGCCGAAGCGGUGAGUGCCGUGCUGAUAAGGAAGGAAGGGGUCCAAAUGCCCGUCUACUACGUUAGCCGAGUCCUCCGAGGUCCAGAGACCAGGUACACACAAGCAGAGAAACUUGUGCUAGCCCUGAUCCACGCCGCCCGCAGACUCAAGCCCUACUUCCUAGCUCACCACGUCUGCUUGAGGACUGAUCAACCACUUCGGCAGAUUUUGACACGACCAGAGGUUUCGGGACGUCUUACCAAAUGGGCCAUUGAGCUGGGGGAGUACGACCUAACUUAUGAGCCUCGCACAGCGAUCAAGGCCCAGGCUCUCGCAGACUUCGUAGCCGAGCUCACCUUUGACGAGGUGCAAGGAUCCGUCCCGGCUGCCACAUCGGCCACAGUUGAUGUGGCCACCACUGGGCUCCAGCGGUGGAUCCUACACGUGGACGGUUCGUCAACAGUGAGGGUAGUGGAGCAGGCUUGCUCCUCGAAGACCCCCAAGGAGAAAUAUGCUAAUAUGCCUUAAGAUUUGACUUCGCUGCUUCAAACAAUGAAGCUGAAUACGAAGCCGUCAUUGCUGGACUGCAGCUAGCUCGCAAGCUCGGGGCCGCACACAUCUUGGUUUAUAGUGAUUCCCAACUCGUCGUGUGCCAGAUAUUAGGUGAGUACGAAGCCAGGGACGAGGUGAUGCAUCGUUACCUCUCCAAGGUCCUCCAGUUGGCGACUCACUUCGAGUCUUUUGAAAUUCAAAGAAUACCGCUAUCGAAAAACAGAAGGGCUGACGCCCUCUCCCGGCUUGCCUCAACCUCUUUCUCUGACCUGAACAAGACGGUUCUCGUUGAAGUUCUAGCCGAACCAGGAUAUGUAGCCGAGGUAGUAUACCCCGUCUACCCUGGGGACACCUGGAUGGGUCCCCUGACUCGAUUUUUCAGCCAGGGUGAGCUCCCCGAAGACCGAGCUGAGUCACGGAAGCUCCAACGAAAAGCAGCACGGUACAUUCUCCGACAAGGCCUUUUAUACAAAAGGUCUUACCUCGGCCCUUAGUUGCGAUGUAUCACGCCCGAGGAAGGCCAGAGAAUCCUCCAAGACAUACAUGAGGGGCUCUGUGGUGCUCACGUCGGCUACAGAAUGCUGGUAAAAAAGGCUUUGUUACUUGGGUAUUUUUGGCCCACUAUGAGGAUAGAUGCCCAGGUCAUGGUCCUUUGCUGCCCCUCCUGCCAGCAUCACGCUCCUGAGCACCACCAGCCGACCAAUUUAAUGAUCCCUAUCACCUCGUCAUGGCCAUUUGAGCAAUGGGGAACGGACAUAAUUGGCCCCUUUCCCAGAGCUCCAGGCAAUUAUACCUACGUGGUGGUAGCAGUGGACUACUUCACCAAAUGGGUCGAAGCUGAACCCCUAAAAAAUAUCACUGGUGCGGCAGUCCAGAAAUUCUUCUGGAAGAAUGUGGUUUGCCGCUUCGGCCUACCCCGGGUGAUCAUCUCGGAUAAUGGCCGACAGUUCGCCGAUAAUCCUUUCAAGGCCUGGUGUGAGAACCUCGGGGUCAAACAGCAUUUCACUUCGGUGGGACACCCCCAAGCCAACGGACAAGCCGAAAACUUCAAUCGCACGCUCCUCCAUGGCCUCAAGACCAGGCUCCACCAGGCUGGAUCGUUUUGGAUGGAAGAGCUCCCCAGUGUGCUGUGGUCCUACCGAACUACGCCGAGAUCAGCAACCCAGGAAACCCCGUUUUCCUUAACCUACGGGUCAGAAGCUGUUGUUCCAGCCGAAUUCAUCACCCCGAGUCCACGAAUGGCCGCAUAUGCUGCCGAAGUCAAUGAAGAAGAACGGCGAGUUGACCUCGACCUCGUCGAAGAGAAGCGUGAUAUGGCCGCGGCCAAAGUUGCUGUUUACAAAAAUAUCGUAGCUGGCUACUACAACGCUCGGGUUAAACAUUUGCGGUUCAGUCCGGGAGACCUGGUGCUCAGGAAGAACUCAGUCAGCCGGGCUGAACCUCAGGGUAAACUAACCCCCAAGUGGGAGGGACCAUACCGUGUUGUUGAGUCCAGCCAAAAUGGAUAUUGUAAAUUGGCAUACCGAGAUGGGUCUCUGAGUGCCCCGAACUUGGCAUGCUGAAAAUCUUAAGUUGUACUACCCUUGAGGGUAUGUGCUUUUAAUCUUGAGUUAUUUCACACUUAUUUUCAUUUCAUUAUAAGUGAAAAAUAAGGGGACAAAGUAGCAGUAAAGAGGAAAACCGAAUUUAAUUAAAAAGAAAGCAAGAAUAUGAACUCAAUUCCAUUGAAUUACAUAAAAGUAGAAAGCCGAGGUCACCUUUAAUUAGGAAGAAAGCAAGAAUAUAAACUCAAUUCCAUUGAAUUACAUAAAAGUAGAAAGCCGAGGUCACCUUUGACCUCGGCCUACAAUGACAAAAAAAAAAACAAGUGCCUCUAGGCACUCCCUACCCUGACAUCCUGGCCCCCCGUGGUCGCGCCACCCGUUUCGGCACCCUGUCCACCCUCAGCUCCUCCACCGGCCUGGUCGUCUUCAGUACCAUCUAGUUCAAACUCCUGGAGCCAUUUGUUGAAUUCGGCUCGGACUUCGGUUAGGUCUUUCUCAGUCCGGAUGCCCUCAGCCAUGCUGUCGCAUAGCUCCUUGGCAUCCUCGUUAUAGUGCGAAGUGCUCUGAAGGGACUCCAGUUGUUCAGAGGGAAGAAAGGAUGCCGCGUCAUUAAUAGCCGACGUGUACCCGAACAUGAAGCUUGGCCGGGUGAGCUCGCCGAGGUCACGGAUGAAGGACUCUGACGUCCGGAAGGCUUCCACAGCAGUGACCCCGGCCUUGUCCAUGGCCUCCCUGUUUGACUGUUCUUCUUGGGCCCUCCUUUUUUUCUCCUCAUCAAGAGCAGUCACCAGGGAAUUGUUCGCGACCUCGGCCCUUUUGUUAGCCGCCUUGGCCUUGUCACGCUCCAACUCGGUUGCCUUCAGUUUUUCUUCCAACUCGGCAAUUCUCUUCUGGAGCUCGGCAGGAGGCUCAUAGUUUUCCAUGAACUUUCCAUACCGUUGAAUCAUCUCGACAAAAAAAGCCGUGGUAGAGGCCCAUGACACCGAGGCGCUCUGCAUCAACUCCCCUGCGGAGAGCUUCCUAGCAUAAGUGCUAUCUCGUGGCAGCACUGAAUGCACCAAGAGCUCCUGAGCGACCAAAGGGUUCUUGCAGCGAUCGUUGAAAUUAAUCUCCCACUCUGGACACCAGUGUGAUCCGGGGUGUCUCUUGUCCUCCUCAGCUGCCUUGAAAGGCACAUGAUGGAGUUUGAACAAAGAUGACCCCGUGACGGGGUUCUCCGGAAAUAUGGUCACACCCUGACCCCGGGGGGGAGUGGCAAUCGUGACCCAGCGAGAAGGGAUUCCCACCGGAAUUGCCGAGGCUCGGGAACCUCCCGGAGUGGCCGAGGUGUGCGAGCCCUCGCCCACGAUCACCACGGCAGGCUCGCGGUCGCCCGACGCCGCGGUGGUUUUCUUAGCCGGCCUGGAAGAGGACCCUGCAGUGUCCUUGCGCUUUUUGGGAGCUCUUUUGACCACCUCGACAUCUCCCGAGGUUAUCAGGUCGAAAAUCUUCGUCACUGCAAAGUAGGAGACGAAGUCAGUUAGAAUUCAAGAGGGAUAAACUAAAAGGGAAGAAAUGGAAAAAUACAAAGUCUGUGAAGCCUAGUCGAGAGUAAGACAGGCUGGUCAGAGCUCGUCAAGGCUCAACUGAUCCCGCCUUCCACGAGCACCACUUCGGGAAAAUCCCAGCAGUUUAUCCUGAGGCCCGACCCCGUUAACUUCUGGAAGUUACGCUCUUCUAACUUCCCUGGAGAUAUCUCCUUGAUCGAGGUGGGAGGCCUCCACCAGAAUCCGCGAGGGAAGUCAUCGGCCGAGACGAAGAAGAAGUUUUGCUUCCACUCCUUUAUUGAGUUCGGAGCAUCAACCACCAACUUCGGAACUUUGUUUCCGAAGUAGAACCAUCCUUUUUCACUUCUGCUGUUCUUGAGUGAGUAACAGCGGCGAAAGAGGUUGACCUAAGGUUGUAUCUCCUGAUGUCGGCAAAGUAGCUGGAAGCCAACGAGAAUGCGAAUAGCGUUAGGGGUGAGUUGAGUGAUUCUCACCCCCCAGUACCUCAGGCAGUCCCGAAGAAACCUCGUCGUGGGCACUCUGAGUCCGGCCUCCAGCUGUUCCUGAUAGAUAGUCACCUUGCCCUUUGGUGGCAGUGCGGCUGACUGAUGCGGUUGGGGUAUGUAAAUACUAUAAUCCCUUCUCCAGGGAUACCUGCGGACCACCUCGGCUAUUGAGGCUUGUCCCAUACCACUACUGAAGAACGGCAUCUGGCCGUAGUCGAGAGUUGCCACGUUUGGAGGAGUGGAAGGUUCUUGUACUCCCUCGUCUCUAGGGAUCUCAAUCCCGAGGUCAUCGUUGUAUAGGACCUCGGGCUGGACCUCGAUCUCCUCGGGCUGCACCUCAACCGCCUCAGCUCGGCGUGAUGCCUCGGCACCUCCACCCUCAGCUUGGUGAGAUGCCUCAGCACCUCCGCCCUCGGACGCGGUCCUUUCCUGGGAGGGGUCAGGCCUCUCUGCCUCAGUGAGGUCAGGUCUCACUGUCUCUUUGUGCGUACGAGCUGUUCUAGCCAUUGUAUCAGAAGGGGAAGAAGUGAACUUACUUAGAAUCUGCGACUGGAAGAAGAUGCCGAAGUAGACGUGGUUUAGAAAGGUUGCCGAAGUGAAAAGAGAAAGAAACAGAGUUCUGGGGUGAUUCUUGAUUUUUGGUGAAGAGUAAAACGGUGAAAAAAGACCACUAUUUAUAGGCCACCAGGGUGAAACCCAAGAGACGGCACCCUCUCUCUUCAUUAAUGGGAGGACUGUUCGUCUGCCAACACAGCUGACAGCCGUCCCUUCAGUUAUCACUCAGUCCCAUCUAUGCGGUCAUGACGUGUCCGUGUUCCGUGUUUUAUACGCUUCUCAGCUUCGGGAAGUAACGACCACGGCGGAUGCCCAUCUCGCCCUUCUCAAAGCUUGGGGGGCUUAGUGAGGAGGGCCAUUUAGGCUCGGAGCGCCCGAGGCCUAGUUCCCCAUCAUUUCCUGAAGUGCCGCCUCGGGUAUUAUCCUGGAAGGCGAUCGCGGCCCAUUUACCACCUCGGCUACAAUGUCAAGUCGUAACACCGAGGUGGACAUUGAAUGACAACUACGAAAAGGGGAGAUGUGAUCUCUGACACCUGAGCAAAGGCUGCUCUGACCCGCCGCCUGAAUCUGACAGAAUGUCCCAUCACGUCUCUUCAUGGAGACCGGUCAAGUCCACCUGAUCCACUGACUAUCUCAGAUCUUUUGGGACCCGUGCAAACAUCUCCUCUCUCCUAUCGGUCCCCUAUAAAUACACAAUAUUUCUACUGAAAAAGGGGAUGACCAAUUUCUGGUAAAACACACUCCACUCAUUACUUACUUCUCUAUAUCCGAACUGACUUAAGUUUCGGAGUUAUACCGGGGGAUCCAGCCCCUUUUCUUAUUCAAGCAGGUGACUUCGUCCAAGAGAGUUGCCCAAGGUAAAGAUAUUCUUCGAAUUGAGGUGACUCACUCCUGCGGGUCGAAAAUCACCUCUUCAAAUGGUAGAAAGUUUUCUUAAGAACCAAGAACAGCAUUAGUAUUCCCUCUGCUUCCAAAAACUUGUGUAUUAAAUAGAUUAAUGAAUUGUUUAACAUGCUCAUCUACUUGAAAAUGCACAAUACCCAUAACCCACUGAAAUUUUUGCAGGAAAAGGGAAAGAGAAUCUGUGUUUGAGAGCUUCAUGAAGAUGUUGAAGAAUAAGAAUAAAAGCCCAAUGCGAGGAUGUUUUCAAGUUUUUCUAUGUCCACUUUAAUUUGUAAAUUGAAUUUUACAACUCAAUUAAUUCCUUGUUUGUGAGGUACGUAUUGUUUUACGUACCAUGCCGUACAUGUUUGUAAGGAUUUCUAUCCUAUUGGCAAAAGUCGGUUCCAUACAAUUAAUCAAUUCAUUUCACUUCUAUUGGCUCUACUAUUUAUGCAUGUUACGACACUCUUUCCCUUAUAUUUUGCCUUUAAUAUUAUGAGUCAAUAGUAAUAAUGGGCCUUUUUCUUAAAAUUAUACUAUUAUACAUAGGUAGUUUGGUCUAACGCUAAAUUCAUGUUUGUCUUUCUUUUAUUCCCUUUACAUCUCAAAGUAUACUAUAGUUUGUAAUCAUUGUGGUGAUGAUAUUACCAGCUGGUACUUAUAGUUUAAGGCAGAGACAUGAUAUUAACAACUAUCUCAUUGAAACAUAAGUCAAAAUCAUGACAAGUGUGAGUCUUGGUUAAUGCACAAUUUGUUAGUGGAAUUUAUAUUUAUAAAACUCAAAAAAAAUUUUUGACAAUGCUAUUACUAAUUAAUUAAGGACUUCAUUGCUAUAAUUUAUCGCUUACUAGUUUAAACUAUAAAUGAUCUCAAUACUUUUCUCCAUGAUGUCGAUUUCUUUAGACUACGAAAGGGAAAAAUUAGUGACAUAUCCCUUACUGAUUACAACAUCAGCAAAAAUUAGUUAUAAACUUUUCCGGUGGUUUUAAAUCCCUCGGGCACUAAGGUUUUUUGCACAUCGAGUGAAUUAAGGAACAUAGGCAAUUCGUUCUGCAUACCAAGUCCUUGUUUAAGAUGCACGUACUAAAAUGCAUCCACUUCAUUAAUUUGGAAAAUUGCCAUAGUUUUUUUUAAGCAUUUUGAUUUUUUACAUGAUUCAAAAUUUUCUUAUUGGAUACAAUCACUUUGUGUCAAGAACACAUUUUCAAUCAUCUUUUUUAUCUUCUCAAUAAGAAAAUAAAAAUUUAUUCAUGCUUUUCUAACAUAUCCAAUCAUUGAUCUGAAAAAUAAAGAAUUAAAAAAAAAAGACAUUUUCAAUCAUUGCUUACAGGGCAACUUCCCCAUGUGAACCUCUUCAAACAAAGCCAAUAAUAUGAAGGAACAUCUAAAUACACUUUUGCCCUAAAGGCUGGUUGCCUUGGGGUCAAAAUUUAACCUUCGGGAGUAUAAUUACCCGCCAAAUUUAUUAUUUUUUAUGGGUAUAUAGUUCCAAUUUUGCCUCCUGUUAAGCUUAUAAAUAUAUUACGACCCAGAAAAUAAAGGAAUCUUGAAUAGUAACAUGUCCAUUGACUUGAGUUGUCAUCAAUUUGGCUACUUCGAUUCCAUGAGGCCAAUCCAAUUCACACUAGCUAGAGAAAAUGGUGAUAAAGGCACUUAGAAAUUUAUAUGUAAUAUUGAUUGGUAGUAACUGAUAAGUAUAUAUUUUACGUGUUUUAAAUAUGUUUUAUUAGUUAGUUUUGGUGUGUUUUAACUACUUUUAUAACUAAUUAACUAGGAAUCUAGUGAAAAUAUGCAUUUUGUGGUUUGAAGUGUGAAAAUUGUAUUUCUAUGGAUUUUAAUGGUGAAAACUUCAUGUUUUUGUAGGUUUAAUGAUUCAAUCAUCAAAUGACAUGAUUUGAGAAGAUAAUUAGAUGAUUGAUGAUGUUUUGAAGUGAUAAAAAGAGAAUACAAAGUGCAAGAGAGGAAAUGCAAUCAAGAAUAAAAGAAGAAAAUUUUUGUAGCUUUGACAUAUUGUGGUAUUUUGGCAAUAUAUUGAGCUACAAUGAUUGGAUUAAGGUGAUUCUUAAACCAUUUGAAGCUAAGAUAUAGAUCUACAUUUGGUAUGAAGGCAUCGAAACCCAUGUCAGUCAUUUUCCUUGUCAAAAUGUUGAAAUACAGAAGUGCAACUCUGUUCUCGAAAGCUAAAACAGAGCUCUGGCUAGUCGAGGGUAUUUUCAUCAUUUCUUAGUCCACAGAGCUCCAAAUGAGAUGAUUCUUAAGGCAUUAGAACCCUAACUCAAAGAGCUACAACUUUCAUAUUUUGUACAAGAGUUAGUUCGGCCUCCAUCAUUCAGAAAAUAGUAGUUGAAGUGGUGCCAAAUGCAUAGAAGUGAAAACGCGAGCUAUCAAUACUCGACCUGAAGUCGCGUAUUCCUGAGGUCAUGCAUUCUCUUCUAUUUUCUGCAACUUGCCCUGCUUUCACAUAAUUUUUUCAUCUCAAUUCCAACUAUCAAUUUCGGCUAUAUCUGAUCAAGAAAAGUGUGGAAAGUUUGAAAGACAACUCAUAGGAGUUUCAAGAGUCAAAAAUUACAAUUAGAAACAACUCAUUUGGCUCUUGAAUCCUCUAUAAAUAGAGGCCUUUGAAGAACAUUUUCACAACUUUGGAAGGUUAGAGAAACUCCACAAAAACAUAGUCUUCACUAGAAUUUCCUUAGUUCAUUAGUUAGGGUAGUAUAGUAUAGUUAGUGUAGCUUUUCCUUCUUGUAUUUAUAGUUAGGUUUGAAUGAAGAUUCAGGAGCAAAGAUAGAGAGGUUGAUCUCAUGUGACAAGGGUGAUAUCUCUUCUACUACUUUCUCUUUUGUAUUUGAUUUCAUAUUUAACUAUACUACAAAUUUGGCUUUGUUUUUUUUUUUUAUCAUGUUUAGUUAAAGUUUAUGCCUAGAGUAUGGAUGACCUUUCUAUAUCUUGUUUGUGAUAUUUAACUGGUUAUUUGAUGAUGUUAUUUUUGAGCAAGUUAUUUAUCACUUUUGCUUUUCUAAUCGUGAUUAACUGGCCAUUAGUUGUGAUUAUCUAAAAGUGUUAAGUUUGUAAUGAGAAUUGGAGUUUAACACUAGUUCAAGGAAGUGAUAAAUUUAGGGAGUUCACUCAUGAGAGUAGAGGAACACCUUUGUGACCUAAGUGACUUGUUUCAUAUAAUUUCAUAGAAAAAAUGAACUUGUAAUUAAUUUCAUAACCACGAGAGUAAGUAUGGUUUAGCUAUAUGUAUAGUUGAUUCACUACGAGAGUAGGUUUCACAUACAUUAGAAAAUUACAUCAUAACUAGUCAAGAUAAUAUCAUUCAUUUAAUCAGUAAUCUCAUUUGCAUGAGUAGUAAGGCAUUCCAUAUCUCUAGGAGGUUUUUAGUAUUAUUUUCAUUACUUUUAUGUUUAUGGUAGUCUAGAUAAUAAUGGAGUUCAAAAACUACUAGUAAUUGAAAAUUUUCCCUGUGGGAUCGACCUUUAAUACCCUAUACUCGCUCUCGACUCGUAUACUUGCGAAAAAUCACGUGUGCGGUAUUUAGAAUUUAUAAAUGUAAAACUUGACUGUAGAUGAACUAAUUGAUAUAUGUAUACCCCGCACUCGUCAGUAACCAGCUUGUAUUGAUCCCAUUAUUGUGGAUAAUUGUGCUCUUAUGAAAAAAAAUUAUAAAAAAAUUAGCAAAAUUUAUGAUAACAAAUUAAAUUUAUUCAUACAAAUCAGUGAAAGAAGUAGAAUUUUAAAGACCAUGAUGAAAUUAAUACUUUCAAGGGCUCUAUUAGGAAGACUUCACUUGUUGGUGAAACUACACUAGCACAGUUAUAUGCACAUUUACUGUUUUGGUAUCUAAUUUCCUUGCCUUAAGUUGGGUGCAGAUGUUUAUAUUACAAAUAGAUGGUAUCAUAAAAUUGUUGUAUUCACGUUUGUUCUUUUUUUUUCUUCCUUAAGUUUUUUUCUUUAUUCUCGUGACUUCAAAAAUACGAACUCAAGAAAUUGGCUGCUUAAUCAAUAUGUCAUACAGGCUUCGCUAGUGAGGUAUAACUUCACAACUAGAGUCAAUAGAAAUUAUCAAAUGAUUUUUUAACAUCCAAAUUAAGCAAUAAAUUUUGUUUUCAUUUUAUGACAUAUAAUAGUACUACUUCAUGAGAGAUUUUAUAGUUUCUUUUAGGUAUCAUACCUACAAGUGAUAUUUGUCAUUGGAUAGUGACAGAAGUGUUAAUGAUUGUAAGAUUAAAUAUUGUUAAAUAUUGAAAUUUAAACUAUUUAUCUUUAUUGAAAGAUACAAGUUAAAGAAUCGUUCAAGGGGGCAAUUUUCCAUCUUGUCUUUUUGAAAAAACGCUAUCACAUUGUAUAGGCAUGAUAGGUUCAAAUUUGUCAUUAAAUUUAUGAUUGAUUUCCCUUUUAUUCAAGCCAAAUAUUGUUUUAAUUAUCAAAUUCUACUUAUAUUUGGUUAAUUGUACUAAUUGUAGGGCGGUAGAGCAAAAGUUGCUAAAAAUAGGUGAUUUUCUGCAAAUUGGUUGUCAAGGCUGAAGGAUUUGGGAUUCGCAUGUUCAAGGCCUGUUUCCAAGUUUGAUUCAAACUCUGGACAGUUUUAGAGGAAGAUUUGGAAGAUUUGAAAUUUCAUUAUUAGUUUUAUGGUUGAAUUAGGAAUCUUGGAAUAAUUUCUUUUGUGAUUUAUUUUUCUAUUUAGGAGACUAGUUGUUAUUUAGUAGUAGACUUCAAUUAGAAAACAAAGAGAAAAAGAAGGCCGGAAUCCCGCUUGAUUAAUACCUUGGCCAGGGAACAAUCUCGGUGGGGAGGACGGCCACUUAGCCUCUCAAUUCAUCUUGCUUUUCGUUAGUUUGAGAGGAAAACCAAUUGCAACUAGAUUCAAUGGAGUCUGGCAGAAUUUCUUCUAGGAUGCGUAGCUAAAUCCUCAAUUUUUAGUCGAAGGUCAAUUUGAAAAUUCGGUUCCAAAUAUCUGUGAAAUCGAAUUAUUUUACUUAUUUCUUUUAUUUAUUGGUAUUCGCACGUUUUCUGAUUUAACUUUUUAUGAUUGUUUUGUUAUUUGAAUGUCAAGGGUCCGAUAUUCGAAUUAACUUAAUAAUCUACUGCCAAAUUAACCGGUUAAAUCCGUAAUUGUUUGAUUGAUUAAUAUCAGUGGCGACUAGCGUGAUUGGUCCCAUGUUAGGAAAACGUCUGAUCUAAUUUAAACAAACCGUCGUAGCGUGUUUGUUGAUUAGGGUUGGACUUUUCUAAUUCUUAAUUCAAUUGAGAAAUUAAAUCUCCCGGUCGUACCUAAGAUUAUUUUUUUGUUAGCGAAAUAGUUAAUGGUCGUACCUUGACUAUCGAAAAAGUAAGGAAGAGUUGAUUGUUUAUCGCGUGUACGACAACUAUAAUCAAUCUAUUAAUGAGUAAUUGAAUUAUCUUUGCAUCAGUAAUCAGUUGAAUGGACCGUGUCUGAAAAGUUGUACCUUUGGCUAGAGUCUUAUCUGUUGUUGAUUCAUUCAUAUCUAUCUUCAUGCGUUGUUUUAAUUUAGUUAAUUAGUUAUUUUUAUAAAAACCCCUCAUCUCUGGACUCUAAAAGAAAUAAAUUAUUUCUAGUUCCUGUGGAUUCGAUCCUACUCACCGCUAUAUACAAAAUUUGUAUUUUUUUGAAUAAAUAAUUAUUAUUACACAGGCUUGACACCUGUCAAGGCAAAAUUUCCUUAACUUCAUCAUCUGUAGACGUAAACUUUCUACGGGUGAUAUAAUAUAAGGAAAUUUUGCCUAUACGAUGUGAUAGCAUUUUUUCAAAAAAGACAAGAUGGAAAAUUGCUCCCUUGAACGGAAAAAAUCAUGAUCUUUCCUCAAACUAGUCUACUAGUCAAUUCUUUACAAAAGAAUACUCGCUCCUAAACAUAGCCUGUUCAUCUACACUGUCCCGCAGAAUUCUAGAAAGUUAGGCAAAACUAGACAAGUUGACAGGUAUAAUCAUACCCAAGAUCAGGAACAAGCAGUUGCACAUUUCAAAAUUCGCUGCUGCAACAGCUAAUUUGAUGACUUACAACACUACACGGUCAAACUUUGAAUGGCAAUGGAUCUUUUGUUGUACGUCAUGAUGUAAUUUUCAUGUUACAUACAUUAAUAGGUUGAUAUCUAUAUUCUUUAAAUUAUCAUGAUAAUACCCUUAAUUAGAUUUAACUGAUAAAAAGAACACGUGUUAAUAUACAAAAGUGUGUAACGUGAAUGUUACAUUACUGUAUUGCAGAAGACCUAUAGUCUCUUCAUAUCUCUUCCUGCACGUAUCAAUUCGUUUCCUCUAGAUAAUAAUCUCCCAACUCGUUUCUUUACAAAUGCACCUUUUAUGUUUUAUUACCUCCAAAAGCCUUUACAGGGUCUUUACCCUAAAAAUCAAUUCACCGACUCGCAUUUGAUGUCAGAAAUUCUUAAGACGAAUUCUACUUUACUCAAAGAUUGACUGUUAAUAAUGAGACAGCGACCAUUUUGUAUUAUUAGACCGUCCUUCUUGAUAGGUAAAAGAAAUAGAGAGGAAAGUGGGUCCGUAUAUGGUCUUUUAUUCAUAGAUAAUACAACAUUACGCCAUCGAGCAUUCACACAAUAUUUCAAAGUCAUAGCAUGCCUAAGGCCCUGUUUGAUAGCUCAAUUUCGUAAUUAAAUUUAAUAGAUUCAAAUUUUAACACAUUUAAAUCAUUUGAUAACAAAAAAUUGAAUAUUUAAAUUAAUUAAGUAACACUGAACUUUCUAAACAAAACUUGCUUUCAAAAUUAAGUGAUAAGUUAUUCACUUAUCUUUGAAUGUGAUAUGCACUCAAAUAUAUUAAAUUUAAUAAUUUAAUGGAUUCAGAUUUCAGAUUUCAGUUUUAUUACACACCCUAAGUUGCAAAAUAAUACCAAAACUUGUUAUUAUAUAGCUUGAGAUUCAAAAAUUUAGAGCAUAAUUCUCAACCUAACACAAUCGAAUAAUGAAUAUUCACGAUUGUUUCAAAGUACAAUUUGAGGACAACCCAUUCCAACGCGUACACGAUUUUUAACUUUUCUAAAGUUGUUGAGAGCUGUUAAAAGAGAUUUACCAUGUUUACAUCUUCCAAGUCUUGGAAGUGAAAAAUGAAGCCACUGAGUGCUAUAAAAAGGGGGCUAGAGGCUGCCUAGAAGCAUAUCAGCCUAAAACAAGAAUUUGUAGUAACAAUGGGGAGCAAAGCAAAAGCAACGGGGUCUAGGCUGACUCCUCUUCUUACCACUGUUUUAGUGGUAUUUGUCGCCCUUGGCUUGCCCUUGGAAACUGCAGCUGAUUAUUACAAGUAUUCAUCUCCUCCUCCUCCUCCUUACCACUAUUCUUCACCACCACCUCCAGUGUAUUCACCUCCACCAACCCCUGCUUAUAAGUUACCCCCACCAUCUCCUCCAGUUUACAAGUCCUCACCACCACCUUACCACUACUCACCACCUCCGGUGUAUUUACCUCCACCAUCUCCAGUUUACAAGUCACCACCACUACCCCCUCCGGUAUACAACUCCCCGCCUCCACCAGUGUACAAAUACAAGUCCCCACCACCACCUCCUCCAGUUUACAAAUCUCCAUCGCCACCAGUUUACAAAUACAAGUCACUCCCACCACCUCCUCCGGUAUACAAGUCUCCUCCGCCACCUGUUUACGAGUACAAGUCUCCUCCACCACCUCCUCCAGUGUACAAGUCCCCACCACCUCCAGUUUACAAGUACAACUCACCUCCACCUCCUCCCCCAGUUUACCUGUCUCCACCUCCACCCUAUCAUCACUACUACGGUUCUCCUUCUCCUCACCACUACUAAGCAAGUGCAUAAGUUUUGAGGUAAUAAUACCUAUCCAAAACUUUAUCAACACAAACUGCCAUGUAUAUUAUCAUGCUAAGGACGUACACUUGAUCCAUGAAAAUGACUAGUAGAAGAUUUUUUUUAAGAACCAAAGAAAUACAUUAUUUUUUCGGUCUGUUUUCAAGAAUUUGAGCAGUAUACAGAUUAAAGAGUGUUUUUUUUUUUGUAAACUUGCUUGUCAACUUAAAAAUGCACAUAGCUGAAAGCCAACUGAAUAUUUGCAGGCAAAGGAGAAGGCAAUCGGUGUUUGAGACCUUCAAGAAGAUGUAGAAGAAUAAGAAUAAAAGCCCAAUGCGAGGAUGAUUCCAAGUUUCUACGUUACCAUUUCUACAUCUAAAUUGACUUUAGCUCCUGAGUUCCAUGUUUAUGGGGUUUGUACCGUUUUACGUACCAUGCAGUACAUGCUUGCAAGGUUUUCUGUCCUGUUGGCAAACUGCAGGUCCAUAUAAUAAAUGAAUACUAUUUACAUUACGACACUUUUCUCUUUUUCUCUUAUAUUUUGUCUUUAAUAUUGUUGAUCAUUUUUUUUUUAUCAAAAGCAUCAAAUGCUUAGGUAAUUUGGUCUAAUGCUAAUUGUUUUACUUUUAUUUUUCACCUACACCCCUUUUCAACUCAAAGGAUGCUAUAGUUUGUGAUAAUUGUUUAAGACCGAAGCAUGAUACUAAUAAAUAUCUCAUUGAAAGUCAAGGAAACUAACAUUAGGAAAAGUUUAAAUCUUGAUUUGAUGAAACUAUUUAUUCGUGGAAUUUAGAGAUACAAAACUCAAAUUGUGACGGUGUUGUUGCUAAAUUAUUAAGGACAUUAUCACCAUUAUUUUUCCCUGAUCACUAGUUUCAACUGCAAUGAUCUCAAUCUUUUUGUGACUAAUUCUUUCCUUAAUAAUUUAUAAAGACAAAACUCACAAAGAAUAUGUGACUAAUUCUUUCCUUUCGUCUUCUAAAGAAAAUGCCAACUGUUAGUUUAUCAAGGGGAAAAAGGAUCGACAUCAGUUAUUAUUGAAACUAGUAAGGAAUAAAUAAUGGUGAUAAUGUCCUUAAUAAUUUAACAACAGCACCAUCAGAAUUUGACUUUGAGCUUCGGUCUUAAACAAUGAUCACAAACUACAGCAUCCUUUGAGUUGAAAAAGGAAGUAGGUGAAAAGAAAAGUAAAAAAUACAAUUAGCAUUCCCUCAAAUUGUAGAAAGUUAGGUAGCAUUAUAGACAAGUUGAUAGCGGCAAUUUUACAUUUCAAACUUCACCUAUUCAAUAACUAAUUCGAUGGCUUGCUACAUGGUCAAUCUUUGGACCCCUUCCUGCCUCCAGAUAUCCCUUUCCUCAAUCAGGGGCUUCUACAAUUACCAGUUUCAAUUGUAUGGUAUAGUGUAAAUAUCAACAAAUUAGAUGUAGAUGCUAACAUAAUAAAUGUGAAUGCUAAGACAGCAACAUACAAUCGAACCUGCAAUUGUAUGAACCCCAAUCUCGCUUCCUAGUCCACCAUCUUUCUCUAGGUAAUAAUCUCCCUUCUAAUUUAUUCACAAAAUGCACCUUUCAUCACCUCCAAUAGCGUCGACAUGAUCUUUACCCUAGAAGACUAUUCACCGACUCUCAAUUGACGUCAGAAAAUCUAAGAGUAAUUCUACUUUACCCUAAGAUUGAUAUCAACAAGACAAGGACAAUUUAGAAUUAUUACACGCCUCUUCUUAAUAGGAAAAAGAAAUAGAGAAGAAAGUCAGGCCAGGUCUAAUUUCUUUUCAAAGGCAAUACAACAUUACGAAAUCAAGCAUUCAUUCAUACAAAUAUUUCAUAGUCACCGGUUUGCUGAGUAGAAAAAUUUAGACAAAAACUUAAUAUUAUAUUGUUUAAGAGUUAACAAUUUAGAGCUUAAUCUCCUUGUACUUUGGAGUUAACAAUUUAGAGCUUAAUCUCCUUGUACUUUGGACUAAACUUGAACGUGAAAGGAAAUCCCAAAACCAUAUUGGGCAUGAAUUCACACUUAAUAUACCCAAUAAAAGAUGGCGACUGGUGAAAGGCAGUGGAGACUGGUGGAGAGAUUUGAGGAAUAGAAGCAGACGGAAAAGCAACAAAUUUUUGCCGAAAAACGGUCACUUUCAUGGUUAAUUUUGCUACUCUCCAAUUGUACUUGACCAAUUACAACAAUUUCAUGGAGUUUGAUACGUGAAAAGAAUUUUUUAUAAAUUUUAUUUUGAUCCAUAAUGUUAUCUUUACAUAUAUAAAACAUUUUACAAUUUUGAUUUUGGCGCAGCUAACUUUUGGUUAACAAAAAUGCUCAUGUUUAAAAAACCAGAAAUAAAACAAAACAAGAAACAAAAGAAAUAAGAGGGUAGCAUAGACAUUUUGGAUUUUUCCGUUAAUUUGGAUGAUUUCCACCCACGUUCUAAUUUAAUCCAAAACACAAAGGAAUUACGUAGAGGUUUUAAAUAAUGAGGGAGCUUCAUGAUCGAACCCCAAACCACAAGGCGAUUUACUAUAUUUUACUCUUAAAUUUUGGUUUCAUCUCAUAGCAUACAAGAGUUCUAUUUCACUAUCUGUAGACAAAGACUUUCUAUGGUUGAUGUACCAUAGGAAAAAAUCUGCCUAUACAACGUGAUAGCAUUUUUUCAAAAACACAAGAUGGAAAAUUGCCCCUUAAACGGGGAAAUUCAUGAUCUUUCGUCGAACAAAGAAUACUCACGCCUAUUCAAGAUGGAAAAUUGCCCCCUUAAACGUCUAUUUGUCAAUUCUUGAAAAAAGAAUACUCACGCCUAAAACACGGCCUCUUCAUCUGCAGAAUUCUAAAAAGUUAGGUAAACUCUAUAAACAAGUUGAUAGGUACAAUCGUACCCAAGAUCAAGUACAGAUAGUUGUACAUUAACUGCUGCAAUAACUAAUCUGAUGACUUAUAAACAUAUCAUGGUCAAUCGUUGAAUGGUAAUGAGUCUUUUGUUAUGCAUUAGUAUUAGUGUGUACACUCUAAUAGAUUGAUACUUAUACUCUUUAAAUUAUCAUAAUAAUACCCUUAAUUAACUUUAACUCUUAAAAAGAAUACAUGUUAAUACACGAGUGUGUGUAACCUGAAUUGUUACUUAUAAAUUAGUGUGUAAUAGAUAGGGAUGGCAAUGGGGGCGGGUGCCCGCGGGGGGCUCUCGGGGCGGGGGUUGGGGCGGGGGGGAAUUUUUUCCCCCCGUUUAGAAAUGGGGCAGGGGACGGGGGAGUAUACCCCCGCCCCAUCCCCCGCAAAAAAAAAAUUAUAUAUAAUAUGUAAUUUAAUUAGUUAUAAACUUAUGAUAAUGAUAUUAUUAGUUAGAUGUAUUAUAUAAUGUAUAUUAGUGUAUGUAAUAUAAUUAAUAUUAUCAAUUAUAUGAAUAAUUAGACAUGUCUACUAAUAGAAUUUAUGAAUUAGUUAUACUAAAUUUACUAAUACAUUUAUACUAAAUUUCUAAUUACACUUAAUAGAAUAACACUUUUUUCUAAAACAAAAAAGCACAAACACAAUAAUGAAUUAGUGAUUGUAUGAUAGGGUGUAAUUUUACUAUUUAUUUUAUUAUUAAUUUCCCCUAUCACCUGACCUGAUGUGGAUUAAUUGCUGGAUUCUGCUCACUUUUAGUACUUUGUAUUUAUUUCAGGGAGUAGAACGGAAAUUUGAUAACAGGUGCUAAUUUGGCAGAAAAAGAGUCCAGAUGAUAGAGCUUGCCCCAAGGGCAUUUUUGGAAAGGAGAACUUGUGCCCAUCUUGGUAAUUUGGGAGAAAAGGGAAACAGACAAAAUGGGUCUAACAUGGAUUGGAAGCGGCCGCACAGUAGCAGGGAAGAGGGCAGACGUAAAAGCAAUUGCAGGGGGGAAAAGGAGUUUUUUUAGUUUUUAGCUUAGCAUCUGAUUUUCCCUGGGAGACUUUUGUUAAAGAUUUCCUUUUGGCUGAUAUUACGCAUGGCAGAUGGCUUUUAACUUAUUCCUCCAUCUUUGACUUUUCUUCUUUAGCUUGUGGCAGUGGAUUGCUACUUACGAAUGUCAGCACUUAGCCAUUCGUGGCUUUUGAUCUUUUCUUCCUUAGAAAUUCUGAGUAACCUCUUUUCCUUUGUGCGCCAGACGAAGUGAAAACUAUAAACUUUUGUAGUUUUUCUAUUCAUUCAAUAUAUUGAGACGAGUUGGAUUCUACCAAAUUUCAACGGACAUGGCCGCUGGUUUCUCUUCAAUUUUAUAUGGGCUUUGUUCAUCCAACAUGAACUAAUUUCACCACUCUAGUCAAGGAGCAACGAAGGCUCUGAUUUGCCUAAAAAUUGUGAGAUCGUUUUAAUUUAAUCUUUUCCUUUUAUUUAUUGGUAUCCGCACAUUUCUUGAUUGCUAUGCUUAUGGUUAUUUAAUUAAUUGAUUGUCUUGGAUCCAGAUAAUUAAUUGAUCUGAUAGCCUAUUGUCAAUUAGGGCAUUUAAAUCCGUAAUUGUUUAAUUGUCCUGAAAUAGUGACAACUGGCACGAUUAGAUUCGUGCCAGGGGGGAUAUGCGGGCUAAUCUAAAAUAACCCUGGUAGUGUGUUAUUUGGUUAGAAUAGGGCUCCUCUAAUACUAAGGCAAUUGGGGAAUUAAAUUCUACGGGCGUACCUAGGAUUAUUUCUUAAUUAGAGCAGUGAUUAACGGGCGUACCUUGAUCACCGACACAGUAAGGAGGGGUUGACCGUCAUCGCUUGUUUGGCAGUUAUAACCUAUUUAUCAGUAAAUAAUUGGGAUUGCCUUGCAUCAAUGAUCAAUUAGGUGAACCAUUGUUGAAGUUACUUCUUGGUUAGAUCUUUAGUUAAUAUUACCUUGAUUUUGGUGAAUUGCCAUUUGAUUUUUAGUUGCCUACUUUAUUUUAUUUUUAAUUGUUUCCUUGCUUUAAUUGAGUUAGGCCUUUAAUUAUUGUUAUUCUAAGUUUAGUGAAUUGUGGUUUAAUUCCUAAUUAGUUAUUUAUUUUUACUUUCUUAUUUGAAUUUAUUUGCUUGUUAUCAUUCCUACGAAAUCACCCCCCUGUGUUACUUUGGAUUUCUUAAGAAACAAAUAUACCCAAUCCCUGUGGAUACGACCCUACUUGCUCUGUUCACGAAUUCAUAAUUAUUUGUGAAAAGAAAUAACCAUUCCACUCGGGUAUAUCGGAUCAAGCAAAUUCUUCGGGAACAGGGUGAAUCAAGUAACCCAAUGCACACCUAGAGUCCCUGCUCCAGUACUUGGAAUUGGGUUUUGGUCAUUUUAACUGGCAAUUAGGUUUAAUUUUAUUAUUGCACAGGCUGACGACCCUGUCAAUUUUUGGCGCCGUUGCCGGGGACUGGCGUUAUUAUUUGUUUCUUUUUAAAUUCAUUCUUUGUCCUAAUUUUCUGGUUUUCUUCUAGUGUAUGCCUCGAUCUUCUCGUACAGGUAAUUUGAUUUUUGACCCUGAGGUAGAGAAGACCGCAUGUAGAACGAGAAAGGAAACCAGACAGCUCAGAGAAGAGCACUCCAGUGCUACAUCUCAGAGACCCGAGUCAGAAGUUGAACUAACAGAUUCGUUUGGUAACACUUCGAGUGACUCUGACCAGGAGGAAGACACCAUGGCUAAUGCACGAACAUUAAGGGAGUUGGCUGCUCCUGAUUUAACUCAGCAGCCUUUAUGCAUUACUUUCCCCACUUUAAAUGAUAACAUUCCAUUUGAACUAAAAUCUGGUCUGAUUCAGCUUUUACCCUCUUUUCAUGGUUUACCAGGUGAAGAGCCGUAUAAGCAUCUGCAGGAGUUUGAUGUCGUGUGUAAUAGUAUGAAACCCUCGGGAAUCACAGAAGAGCAGAUAAAAAUGAGGGCAUUCCUCUUCUCCUUGAAAGAUUCUGCGAAGGACUGGCUGUACUACCUGUCACCAGGUAGCAUCACCACGUGGGACCAAUUGAAGAAAAAAUUUUUGGAUAAAUAUUUUCCUGCGUCCAGGGCUGCAAGUCUAAGGAAAGAAAUUUGUGGGAUCAAGCAGCAUCCAGGGAAGUCACUUUAUGAGUAUUGGGAACGGUAUAAGAACUUGUUGCGCAGGUGCCCCCAACACCAAAUAAGUGAGCAAUUGAUCAUACAGUAUUUUUAUGAGGGGCUCCUUUUUAGAGACAGGAGCAUCAUUGAUGCCAGGGGGGAGGGUUGGGAUGGGUGGUACGGGGGGAGGGAGUGUAAGCAAGAGGUCUCGGGUUCGAGUCCUCCCGCUUACACACAAAAAAAAAGAUGCUGCAAGUGGAGGGGCACUGGUAAACAAAACCCCUCAGGAAGCACGGGAGUUAAUAGAGGGGAUGGCAGAGAAUUCACAACAAUUCAGUACAAGAGAGGAUGUCCCAAUACGUAAGGUGAAUGAGGUAGAGACACCCUCUAUGCAGCAGCAGCUAACUGAGUUGACCGCGUUUGUUAGGCAACUGGCUGUGAGAAAUGCAUCACAAGCCAGGGUGUGCGGGAUUUGCACUGGUAUGGGUCAUUCUGCAGACAUGUGCCCAAUGAUUCAGGAAGAAACUGCAGAACAGGUGAACAUGGCUGACCACGCGCCCGCGCCAAGGAAGCAGUACGACCCUUACUCAAGCACCUACAACCCCGGGUGGAGAGAUCAUCCCAACCUCAGUUAUGGAGAAAAUAGGCAGCCCAACAUUACACCGAACAGGCAGUCUAACUUUGUGCCAAAUAGGCCACCAGGGUACCAGCAGCAAUAUCAACCCCGACCACCUCCGUCCCCAAGCUCUGGCCCAUCUUUGGAGGAGAUGAUGAAACAAAUGAUGACAACUAUGGCUCAAAAUCAGCAAAUGACGGAGGCAACCAUUAUGCAAAAUCAGCAAAGGACGGACUCCGAAAUGAAGGAUAUAAGGAAUCAGAUAAGUCAAAUGGUCACAACAAUCAACCGUUUGGAUUCCCAGAACCAAGGUAAAUUGCCAUUUCAGCCCGAAUUAAAUUCGAAGAACGUGAGCGCAAUGACCCUAAGGAGCGGGAAAGAAAUUCAGGGGUCUGAACCUGUGAUCCCUAAGGAUAAGGAUGAGGAAAAGAUCGAAAAUGAGCUUGAAAGGGAGGACAGCAAUGGUGCAGAUCUAAAGGUACUUCCUGACCCAAUAAUUACAGCUAAAACUAACCCGCCUCCUUUUCCUAGCAGGUUGGAAAAAUCGAAAAAAGAGGAUAAGGAGAAGGAGAUCUUGGAGGUUUUUCGCAAGGUUGAGAUAAAUAUCCCCCUCUUAGACGCAAUCAGACAAGUACCAAAAUAUGCCAAGUUCCUAAGGGACUUGUGUGUCAACCGAAGGCAGUUGAGGGAAGAUGAACGGGUUAUUGUUGGGGAGAAUGUGUCAGCAGUCCUGCAGAGAAAGCUCCCACCAAAGUGCGGGGACCCAGGUAUGUUUACUAUUCCCUGUAGGAUAGGUAAUACUGUGAUAGAAGGGCCAUGUUGGAUCUGGGAGCAUCAAUUAAUCUCAUACCUAAAUCUAUCUAUGCUUCUCUAAAAUUAGGUCCAUUAAAAGAAACUGGAAUAAUCAUUCAAUUAGUUGACCGAACUAAUGCAUAUCCUGAUGGGUUGGUUGAAGAUGUGUUGGUAAAAGUUAAUGAUUUGAUGUUUCCAGCUGAUUUUUAUGUACUUGAUAUGGAUGAUGAUCACUCCCCUGAUCCCUCACCUCUGUUAUUGGGUAGACCCUUUAUGAGCACAGCACAGACGAAAAUUGAUGUUAAUAAGGGUAUCUUGUUCAUGGAGUUUGAUGGGAAAAUUGUGCAUUUCAAUAUCUUUGAUACUAUGAAAUAUCCCUCAAACUCCAACUUUAGCACAGUUUUCUCUGUGAGUGCUAUUGACCCUGUAGUGCAGGAAGUGUUUGAAACUGAUGGCAGGGAUGAGUUGGAGGUGGCUUUGACCAAGCACCUCGAGUUGGAGACAACUCCUGAGGUGGAAUGGAGCGAGGACCUAAAAUGCACAAUAGGUGCAUUACACUCAUUGCAGUCCACCACGAAAAGGUAUGAAGUCUUACCUAUUUUUACUCCCGAACCUCACCAGAGGGUGUUGCCAUCUGUGGUGCAGGCACCUGUACUAGAAUUUAAACCUCUAUCAGAGCACCUGAAAUAUGCAUAUCUGGGUGAUAAUGAGACACUCCCGGUGAUUAUCUCAUCGACACUGUCAAAAAUCCAGGAGGAGAAACUGAUCCGGGUCCUUAGAGAGCAUAAAGAGGCGAUAGGUUGGACAAUCGCAGAUAUUAAGGGGAUCAGCUCGGCCAUCUGUAUGCACCGGAUUAGACUAGAAGAGGAUGCCAAACCUGUUAGGCAGGCUCAAAGGAGGCUCAACCCCCUAAUGAUGGAAGUUGUAAAGAAAGAAAUUUUAAAAUUGCUAGAUGUGGGGAUUAUUUUUGCAAUAUCAGAUAGCCCUUGGGUAAGCCCGAUCCAGGUAGUCCCAAAGAAGGCAGGGGUGACGGUGGAGGCAAACCAAACGGGUGAGCUCGUGCCAGUGCGCAAACCCACUGGAUGGAGGCAGUGUAUAGACUACCGUAGGCUAAACGCCGUCACCAAAAAGGACCAUUUCCCUCUCCCUUUCAUUGACCAAAUGGUUGAACGUUUAGCUUGUAGAGCUUAUUAUUGCUUUUUGGAUGGAUUUUCAGGAUACUUUCAGAUAGCAAUUGCUCCAGAGGAUCAAGAGAAGACAACCUUCACGUGCCCGUUCGGGACCUUUGCUUAUAGACGAAUGCCAUUUGCGUUGUGCAAUGCACCUGCAACAUUCCAGAGGUGUAUGGUAAGUAUUUUUUCUGAAUAUGUGGAGAAAAUUAUUGAAGUUUUCAUGGACGAUUUCAGUGUGUAUGGUGAUAGUUUUGAUACGUGUUUAGAUAAUCUGAAAUUGAUCCUGAUAAGGUGUAUAGAGACUAAUCUUGUGCUUAAUUGGGAAAAAUGUCAUUUUAUGGUUGAGCACGGGAUAGUCCUGGGUCAUAUUGUAUCGUCUAAGGGCAUAGAAGUUGACAAGGCUAAAAUAGAUAUUAUUUUUGCAUUACCUUACCUCGCGAGUGUGCGGAAGGUGCGUUCUUUUCUUGGACAUGCAGGUUUUUAUCGAAUGUUCAUCAAGGAUUUUUCAAAAAUUGGAGCCCCGUUAUUCCAACUCCUACAAAAGGAUGUGACCUUCGAAUUCGAUGAUAAGUGUGAGGAAGCCUUCAACAAGUUGAAAGAAUUGUUGACCUCACCCCCAAUUAUCCAGCCCCCUGAUUGGAGUCUACCAUUUGAGAUCAUGUGCGAUGCCAGUGAUCAUGCCGUAGGGGCUGUAUUGGGGCAAAGAGUAGGGAAGGCAGCUCACGUCAUCUACUAUGCAUCCCGAGCAUUGAAUGGAGCCCAAUUGAAUUACUCCACUACUGAAAAGAAGCUUCUUGCAGUUAUUUUUGCUUUAGAAAAAUUCAGGUCAUAUUUGCUAGGUGCUAAAGUAAUUGUAUUUUCUGACCAUGCAGCAUUAAGGUACCUAAUGACCAAGAAAGAUGCCAAACUGAGGCUCAUUAGGUGGAUAUUGCUACUGCAGGAAUUUGACCUGGAGAUACGGGAUAAAAGGGGCUCAGAGAAUUUAGUAGCUGACCAUCUGAGUCGUAUACCCGUUGGAGAGGAUAAUGAACCAUUGAGGGAUGCGUUCCCUGAAGAGCACUUAUUUUCUUUAAAUUCUCAGUUGCCUUUGUAUGCCGAUCUGGUCAAUUAUUUGGUAACUGGUAAUUUUCCUGCAGGUUGACCAAAAUCGAAGAGGGAUAAAUUGAAGAGCGACGCCAAGUAUUUUAUUUGGGACGACCCGUACCUAUGGAAGAGGUGUGCAGAUCAAGUGAUGCGGAGAUGUGUAAGUGAAAUGGAAUUUCAAUCGAUUUUAGCUUUUUGUCAUACUUUUGCCUGUGGAGGUCAUUUGGACCCAAGAGAACUGCUCAUAAGGUUUUAGAAAGUGGAUUUUAUUGGCCUUCAUUGUUUAAGGAUGCCUAUGUGUUUUGUAAGUCAUGUGAUCGCUGUCAAAGGGUAGGUAAUAUACCCCGUAGAGAUCAAAUGCCCCAAGUCCCGUUGAUUUUUAUUGAAAUUUUUGAUGUCUGGGGUAUAGAUUUCAUGGGGUCUUUUCCUACUUCAUUUGGUUUUUUAUAUAUUUUGCUGGCAGUUGAUUAUGUGUCUAAAUGGGUGGAGGCUAAGGCCACUCGAACUAAUGACUCGAAAGUAGUUGCAAAUUUUGUCAGGUCUAAUAUUUUUGUGCGAUUUGGAAUGCCUAGUGCUAUUGUCAGUGAUAGGGGAACGCACUUUUGCAACAAAAUCAUAGCUGCGUUGUUUCGCAAGUAUGGUGUACUCCAAUGGGUCUCAACGUCGUACCACCCUCAGACCAAUGGUCAAGCGGAGGUGUCGAAUCGAGAGAUCAAGUCUAUCUUGGAGAAAAUGGUGCGCCCCGAUAGGAAAGACUCGAGUCAAAGGCUGGAGGACGCACUUUGGGCCUAUCGGACGGCGUACAAGACUCCUAUAGGGAUGUCACCGUACAGGUUGGUAUUUGGGAAGCCGUGUCACCUUCCAGUGGAGUUUGAGCACAAAGCUUUUUGGGCGAUAAAGUAAUGCAACAUGAAUUUAGAGGAAGCCGGUGCCCAACGAAAGUUGGAUUUGCAAGAAUUAGAAGAGAUCCGGAACGAGGCUUACGAAAAUGCACUAAUUUAUAAGGAGAGAAGCCGGAUAUUUCAUGAUCAACAAAUUUCAAGAAAAUCCUUUGAAGUUGGUCAGAAGGUCCUACUAUACCAAUCCAGGCUCAAGCUAUUCCCAGGUAAACUACGUUCCCGUUGGAUUGGACCUUUUCUUGUUACUCAUGUUUUUCCAUAUGGUGCAGUUGAAAUCCGGAGCGCUAAAACAGACAACAAAUUUGUGGUGAAUGGACACCGUCUCAAGCAUUACUACGAAGGAUUUUCAGGUGAAAAGGUGGAGACAAUAAGUCUAGACGCGCCACCGUGUCCUAAUCAGUGACAUUUUACUAUGUCUAGCCAAAGACAUUAAAGACAGGCGCUCAUUGGGAGGCAACCCAAUUGUCCCUUUUAAUUAUUUGUUUGAUUUCGUGUGAUAGUUUAAAUAUGUUUUCCUUGAAUUCGACUGAUUUUGGGUUUCAGUUUUCGUUUUUGCUGAAUUGUAGGUGACCUUCAGUCUUGACGCGCCCGCGUGAUGACAUGCAGGAAGCUCACGAUCAGAAUCGUCUGAAAGCUCUCUUGCCCUUUUGACGCACCCGCGUGAUGACGUGCAGGAAGCUCACGAUCAGAAUCGUCUGAAAGCUCUCUUGCCCUCUUGACGUGCCCGCGUCACGUUCGCAGGAAAGGUACGGGUUUCAAAAAUUUAAAGAAAAAAUAAUAAUAAUAAUAAUUUAAAAUUUUGAAAUUAACUUCCGUAAAAAAAAAAAAGAAGAAAAAAAAUUUCACCGUGGCUUAAAUAGAGCCUAAAGAAGAGAAAAAAGAAACAAUUUCUUUCUUUUUUUUUUCUUUUUCUUCUUUCUUCCUUCUUUCUUUCUUUCUUCUUUCUCUUUUCCCUCUCUCUUCUCCCCUGUUUCUUCUCCCCUGUCCGUCGCCCGUGCGCCCCAUCGCUGCUCCACCUCCACACGCACGCCGACGCUGCGAGCCACCUGCGACCCCAGCGCCAGAUCUGGACCAUCGCCGAAACCCGCAGCCUCCGCCACCUCCACCUGAGCUCUGCCUCGCGCGCAACCCAGCUGCUCUGCGCCCGAAGCUCCACCGCCGCCACAGCCUCCCCACGCAGCUCCCUGCUCACGCGGCCACAAGCCCAUUGGAAACGGGACAGAGACUGCCGCCGAGCCACUUGCCCGCGUGACCGCCGCUGUUUUCCACCACCUCCCUCACGCGAGCUCUUUCCCUCUCAGCAGCAAUCCACUUCACAGCGCACCCGCUGCGCGCCGUCGCAGCCCUCGCAGCUCCAGCCCGUCUGGUCUAGUCCGCCGCGCGCACCAACCACCCACGGACGCUACCCCCAUCGCUAACCCACGCGGCCUCCACUCCAGUCUGUCCGCCGCCGCUGCUCGUGUCUCCCUUGCGCACCUCACGCCACCCGCUACUGUCCCCUUCCGUUUGGUUAGCAUCCACGGUGGAGGUAAUUGGAGGUUAUUUUCUCAAUUGUGUGACUUCCGCCUGUGAUACUGGUUGCAUUAUUUUUGCUGGGAAUUGCUACUUCUUUUGGGUUGGGUUCAACUGUGCAAUUAAUUGGCCAACUGGAGCCAUUUGUUGGGAUUUUGGGUGAGCUGAAAUACUGCAUUUGUGUGUUACAUUGGGAGGUUUAUUGGGUACAUUCUAACCGCUGUUUUCCAUUGUUACUCUCGCUGGGGUGUCUAUUAAAUUGCGAUUGAAGUAUUUUGGAUAUUGCAUGUUGAGAUUGAGGUUUCAUUGAAUUUGGCCUACGUUCUGCCCCCAGUGGUACUGGUGGGAAUAUUUUCAAUUGAAUUUGUUACCUCUAGUUGGUUGGCUACAUUAUUAUGGUCGAAUUCCUAAGUUGUCGUCAUUGCAUUUGUUGAUCUUGAUUUGGGGCAUUAACCGGCCAACUGGAGCCAUCUGUGCGUUUUUAGGCGCUAUUAUUGGUUUCUUCUCCCUUAACUUUGUCAACUAUAUUUGGUUGGGUAUUUGGUUGACUGCCACGGACUUGUAACUGUGUUUUGCUUCUAAUUGACCAGUUGCACAGCAGUUUUUUUUUAAUUGAUAGGGUGGUUAUACCUCUGGAUAUUUGUAUCCACUGGUUUGAGGACAUGGUGAGACCAAAAUCCUCCUCUAGGUCUAGGACCCCUAGAACCUCGCAAUCCCAACCCCAAGCCUCUACUCUAGUCAAUACCCCUAUAAAUCAACCUACUGCUCCCGGUGUCCGAACCUGGUUAGGUAGGGGUAGAGGUGCCCACGUGGCUUCCGCCACUCACUUGGGAGGGCAUUUGGAAUUCACUAGAGCCGCCGAUCAGCGACGCUAUGCUCAAGCUUGUGAGCGGCGUAUCAUUCCGUGCAAAUGCGCGGACCACAUUACUAUGGUUUUUCUGGGGAUCCAAGGGGAGGUUGAGCGCAUGUACACCGCCAUUGGAUGGCGCCCCUAUCUGGAUAUUUUCCAGCCAGCCUUUGUCGAGUUGACUAGAGAGUUUUACACCACUUUUAAGUUUGAAUUACCGACUAGGUAUACUGUUGCGACUCCCGAUAUCAUUCACUUCCGUCUCAUGGGCCAGGAAUUCAAUUUCUCUAUCACCCAGUUCAAUCUGGCUUUCGGUUUCAUCACUCGGGAGUAUGCAGAGACUAGGGAAUACGGUGAGAGUGCCUGCGAUUUUGUGGAACCUUUCCUUACCGCCUACCGUGAGGUGUGGGAGGACAUGUCUGUGGACAUGCAGCGUUACGAUCCCUCUCGGUCUCGGAGCUCCUUUCUAGAGGACCCGAGUGCUCGGUAUGUUCAGCGGCUUUUAGCAUAUAGCUACUCGGGCAGAAAGAACAGCUUCGGUAUUAUCUCUCGGCCGGAGCUCUUCUUCCUUUGGUGUAUGAAGAAUGGGUUCAAGGUCAAUUUGGGUUGUUGGUUGGCGGCACAGUUCAAGACCGUCAUGGCAAAGAAGAACAAGCCGUUGAUUCUUGGGUCGUAUAUCACGUACUUGGCGGUCCAGCUAGGCGUUCUGAAUCUACAGGAUCACGAUUUGCACUUGGCCUGCGACAUGGAGUAUCUCACUGCUGACCGGCUAGAGAAGAUGGGGGUUCUGGAGCUUGUCGAUGGCCACUACCGAUUUGUGCCCCCGGGACCGCCCCGCGCCCCGCCUCGCUCUUCCUCCACCCAUUCGGCCCCAGUUGGCGGUGAUCCUGGCCCGUCGACAUCCGCUCAGCUCCCUCCACCAGCAGGGGCUGAAGAUUGGCACCAAAUCAGGACGCAGAUUCAGAAUUUGGACGCCCGGAUGAUUAGCAUCGAGAGCAACGUGGCGGCUAUAUCACAGAAUCUGGCGGCAUUCCUGCAGCACUCGGGUUUCCCGCCCCCAAUCCCACCUCACCCUCCACUAUGACCCGGUUUCAGGGAAGUUUGGUUACUUUCUCCCUCACUUUUGUUGUUUUUUGACACAUUGAGGACAAUGUGUCCUAUAGGUGUGGGGGGGUCUAUAGUCUUUCUAGUUUUUAGUAGUUGUUAGUUUUUAGUUUUUUAGUAGUUUUAGUUUUAUUUCUAGUUGCGUAUUUUCUUUCUUUUCUUAGUGCUUAUUCCCCAUGUGAAAAGAAAAAGAAAACAAAAAAAAAGAGAAAAAAAUGUUGGUUUAUUGACUCUAACUCUACUUUUGCCAAGUUUUUUUUAAAUAAAAAUGUAUCGGGUUAAUGUGGUUGGAUCCAGAAUAUCUCCCUGGUGAAUAUCGGAUUGCUUGGCUCUUUUGAUUUCUGUGUUAAUUUCUCUAGGCAUAGGGAAUGACUGUUGGCAUUUUAAUGUGAACUGGUCCAAUAUUGACUCCAGUUCUCUAUGUUUGGCAAUAAUGAGGCGAGCUGUUCCUAUUUUUGGUUCUUAGUGUUGUUAUUAUGUGUUUUUGGCUUUGUUUGGCUGUGAAUAAUCUGGACUGUACUCCGCUAUGAGUUACUACUGAGUAACCGAGGAUCGGCACCUAAAAGUGUCGAUUCUCGCGUCAAAAGGUGGUACUUUAUAUGAGUACGUGGUCGUAUAGCAGUAGGAGCUGAGUAACCGGGCUCCUUCAUCUAAAAAUGUUGGAGUUCGCGUCAAAAGGCCCCGACGGCUAACGACUAAGUCUUUUUGUGUUAAUUAUUAUUGCUUUGAAAAACAAAAAAAAAAAAGAACGAAAAAAGAGAGAAUAAAUAAUAGGAAGGCUUGCCGGUUUAUGGACUUAAUAUGGAGACUUGUGUGAAUAUUUGGACCAUUAGCUAAUAAAUGUUGUGCGCCAUUCCCUUUUCUUAGAGUAGUUAACCUGGAAAUUGAAGGAAUUUGCAGUUUAGGGGCUAACCGGGGGGGAGGCUUCUUGGAUUUUAAUCACCAAUGCUCGAUAUAUGUUUUUCUCUUGAAGAUCUUGGCAAUAUAGGAGAUUGGACAAUGGCCAUCAUCGAAUUUUGGUGUUCGUUUACUAUUCUUAUGCUUGAGGACAAGCAUGGUUUAGGUGUAGGGGGAAUUGAUAGGGUGUAAUUUUACUAUUUAUUUUAUUAUUAAUUUCUCCUAUCACCUGACCUGAUGUGGAUUAAUUGCUGGAUUCUGCUCACUUUUAGUACUUUGUAUUUAUUUCAGGGAGUAGAACGGAAAUUUGAUAACAGGUGCUAAUUUGGCAGAAAAAAGUCCAGAUGAUAGAGCUUGCCCCAAGGGCAUUUUUGGAAAGGAGAACUUGUGCCCAUCUUGGUAAUUUGGGAGAAAAGGGAAACAGACAAAAUGGGUCUAACAUGGAUUGGAAGCGGCCGCACAGUAGCAGGGAAGAGGGCAGACGUAAAAGCAAUUGCAGGGGGGAAAAGGAGUUUUUUUAGUUUUUAGCUUAGCAUCUGAUUUUCCCUGGGAGACUUUUGUUAAAGAUUUCCUUUUGGCUGAUAUUACGCAUGGCAGAUGGCUUUUAACUUAUUCCUCCAUCUUUGACUUUUCUUCUUUAGCUUGUAGUAGUGGAUUGCUACUUACGAAUGUCAGCACUUAGCCAUUCGUGGCUUUUGAUCUUUUCUUCCUUAGAAAUUCUGAGUAGCCUCUUUUCCUUUGUGCGCCAGACGAAGUGAAAACUAUAAACUUUUGUAGUGUUUCUAUUCAUUCAAUAUAUUGAGACGAGUUGGAUUCUACCAAAUUUCAAUGGACAUGGCCGCUGGUUUCUCUUCAAUUUUAUAUGGGCUUUGUUCAUCGAACAUGAACUAAUUUCACCACUCUAGUCAAGGAACAACGAAGACUCUGGUUCGCCUAAAAAUUGUGAGAUCGUUUUAAUUUAAUCUUUUCCUUUUAUUUAUUGGUAUCCGCACAUUUCUUGAUUGCUAUGCUUAUGGUUAUUUAAUUAAUUGAUUGUCUUGGAUCCAGAUAAUUAAUUGAUCUGAUAGCCUAUUGUCAAUUAGGGCAUUUAAAUCCGUAAUUGUUUAAUUGUCCUGAAAUAGUGACAACUGGCACGAUUAGAUUCGUGCCAGGGGGGAUAUGCGGGCUAAUCUAAAAUAACCCUGGUAGUGUGUUAUUUGGUUAGAAUAGGGCUCCUCUAAUAUGUAAGGCAAUUGGGGAAUUAAAUUCUACGGGCGUACCUAGAAUUAUUUCUUAAUUAGAGUAGUGAUUAACGGGCGUACCUUGAUCACCGACACAGUAAGGAGGGGUUGACUGCCAUCGCUUGUUUGGCAGUUAUAACAUAUUUAUCAGUAAAUAAUUGGGAUUGCCUUGCAUCAAUGAUCAAUUAGAUGAACUAUUGCUGAAGUUACUUCUUGGCUAGAUCUUUAGUUAAUAUUACCUUGAUUUUGGUGAAUUGCCAUUUGAUUUUUAGUUGCCUACUUUAUUUUAUUUUUAAUUGUUUCCUUGCUUUAAUUGAGUUAGGCCUUUAAUUAUUGUUAUUCUAAGUUUAGUGAAUUGUGGUUUAAUUCCUAAUUAGUUAUUUAUUUUUACUUUCUUAUUUGAAUUUAUUUGCUUGUUAUCAUUCCUACGAAAUCACCCCCCUGUGUUACUUUGGAUUUCUUAAGAAACAAAUAUACCCAGUCCCUGUGGAUACGACCCUACUUGCCCUGUCCACGAAUUCAUAAUUAUUUGUGAAAAGAAAUAACCAUUCCACUCGGGUAUAUCGGAUCAAGCAAACUCUUCGGGAACAGGGUGAAUCAAGUAACCCAUUGCACACCUAAAAUCCCUGCUCCAGUACUUGGAAUUGGGUUUUGGUCAUUUUAACUGGCAAUUAAGUUUAAUUUUAUUAUUGCACAGGCUGACGACCCUGUCAUUGUAUUUGUACCAAAAGUGAAAACUUAACUAUUUUAGUUGUAUUUAUUUCAUCAUGUUGGAUUGUAUUCAAAUAAUUUUUGUUUGAUUGUUUUUAUAAGUUUCAAUUGUAAAAUUAAAAUGAAUAAUAACUUGAUGAUGUGUUGAUAUUUUAGUACUUGAUUAUUUAUUAAAAUUUAAUUAUAAUAAAAUUUUAUUAACUCAACGAGAAAAAUUUUAUUAAUCCCGUGGGGGCACCCGCGGGGAAAGCGGGGCGGGGCGAGGGGAGUGGGAGGCGGAGGACGGGGCGGGGGCGGGGGAUGGGGGAGGGGUCCCCCGCCCCAACCCCGCCAUCCCCCGUCCCGUUGUCAUCCCUAGUAAUAGACUGGCAAGCAUUGUGGUGGUCAUUGAGCAACUUAUAGGAGAAAUAGUCCUAUAAGCUGUUCAAUGACCAAUCACAACUUGCUAAUUGGAUGACUAAUAUAGCUCUAGCUGUAAUGUUUUAAUUAAAUUACAUCACUAACGUUGGGAUGACUUUUUAACCAAAAAAAAAAAGCCUUAGUUCAAGCUUUUCCCUUUAUUGUGCAUUUUUUAAAGCAUUUGAAAGGCACUGCAAAUCUGUCAUUUUGGACAUUUUAUUAUUGACUAACAAUGAAAGCCGUGGACGUCUACCCAUAACCAACACAAGAUUAAAUUAAUAUUAGAAAAAAUAAUUGAGUAAUUGGAAAAAAAAAAAAAAGAAGAGUCUAAUUUUCAUUGAAACCCACCGACAAACUAUACGUGUCCAUGGCUUUUGAAUAGUGCAUUCAACGUUUAAUUGUAUGGUCCAGUUCAUUGCAGAUUACAUGGAGUAAAGAUUGCGCUCUUUCCUUUUCACCCCUUUUGGAAUCGAUACUGUGGAGAAUUGGGUUUUUCCCUCCUUUUUUUCUUUUCUUUCCUUCUGUGGUUUGCAAAACAUACGUAAAAAUAUGAAAUCCGAAGCAUUCUUUAAUUGGUAUUAAGUAUUGUUGUUGAAAUUAAAAAGAAAAAAGAAAGAACAACAAAAUUCCCAAUCUGGGUUGAUUGUUGAGCUCUAGAUUGGUUGCAUCGUGCUUCCAUAGAAGCAAGAUUUGUAAAAUCGGAAUCCUACAUAGGAUCGAUUUUAGUUUCACAGGAUCGGAUUGUAAAAUCGUAAGAUCCUACCAAAAGCUCUCAAUUGCAAUUAAAGGUUGCAAUUCUUUAAUAAAUUACAAAUAUACCACAAAUAUUUUCAUUUACUUGCAAAAUGGAGCUUCGUAUUUCACAAAUUUACAAAAAAAUUGUAGGAUCGUACGAUCCUACCGAUCCUACGAUCCUACACGAUCCUACCGAUCCUGCUACGAUUCUAUGCGAUCCUACAAAGAUUAAUAUGAUUUGCGACUCUGCAUACGAUCCGGAUCGAUUUUGGUUAUCCGGAUCGUAGGAUCGUAUGAUCCUACGAUCCGGAUCGCGAUUUUGACAACUAUGCAUAGAAGCUCUCUUAGUGUGAUACACUGCUUUCAAUCAGUUUAACACGGGAAAAAAAAAAAGAGAUGAAAAGCAAAUUUGGUGGAGAUAAUUUCAGAAACCUCCCCUGAAGAUUUUGACUAUUCUACUGGUUUCCCUUCAGAUUUUAAAAAUUACACUAAUCUUCCUUGAAGUUAAUUAUCUUGUAACAUUUAAAUUCAAUCAAUAAUUUAAAAAAUGAUAUUAUGAGAGAGAAAAUAAUAUGAUUUUAUCAUUGCCCCCCAUCUUACUACAUUAUUUAAUUAAUUUAAUAGCAACCCACACAUUAAAGAAAAAUAUUAAAAUUUGUUGUUUAUCAUUAAAGAUCAAAUCGCUUAUAACAUCAAAUAAUAGUAUAUUAUUUAUAUUUUUCACUUAAUAUAAUAUCCAAAUUACUCUUUUCAAUUACAUACCCAUUGUUAGAGAAUCAACAACAAAUAACCAAAAAAUUUGCAACCAAAAUAUUACAAAAAAAAUAAACUUUAACAUCAUAAAUAUUCUUAUCAACAUAUUAAAGUUAGUUACUGAAAUUUUUAUGCUGUUAAACUUCACUCUUUUUGAAUACAGAUUUUUUUGAUUAUUUGUUAUUAAUUAUGUUUGAUGAUGGGUUUAUAAUUGAAAAGAACAAUUUGAAACUUACAUUAAGUAAAAUAUAUAGAGUGAUAUACUAUUUUUUAUAACAUAUGUGAUUCAAUCCUUCUUGAUAGGAUUGGUAAUAGAGGUAGAGGGGGGAGUCGGCUGCAUCCGGUCUUCUUUUCAUAGAUAGUACAAUAUUGCGAAAUCAAUCGCAUUCACACAAUAAUAUUUCGAAGUCAAUGCAUGGCUAAGUUGCAUAAAAGUACGAACACUUGUUAUUAUAUAGCUUAAGAUUCAAAACUUUCGAGCAUAACCCUCCACCCAACACAAUUGAAUAAUGAAUAUUCACGAUUGUCAAAUCUGUCAAAGCACAGUUUGAGGACAACCCAUUCCAACCUGCAAAAGAUUUUUUACUUUUCUAAAGUUGUUGAGAGCUGUAAAAAGACUUACCAUGCUUGCAUCCUCCGAGCCUUGGGAGUUAAAAAUGAAGGCACUGAGUGCUAUAAAAAGGGGAAUAGAGGCUGCCUAGAAGCAUAUCAGCCUAAAACAAGAAUUUGUAGUUAAGAUGGGAAGCAAAGCAAAAGCAAUGGGGUCUGGGCUGACUCCUCUUCUUGCCACUGUUUUAGUGGUGUUUGUUGCUCUUGGCUUGCCCUCACAAACUGCAGCUGAUGAUCACUACAAGUAUUCAUCUCCUCCUCCUCCUUACCACUAUCCCUCACCACCACCACCAGUGCAUAUACCUCCACCUCAUCCUGUUUACAAGUACAAAUCUCCACCACCCCCACCACCACACCCAGUUUACAAGUAUAAGUCACCACCACCACCUCCUCAUCCGGUAUACAAGUAUAAGUCUCCUCCGCCACCACCACACCCAGUUUACAAGUACAAGUCACCACCACCACCUCCUCAUCCGGUACCACACCCAGUUUACAAGUAUAAGUCACCUCCACCACCUCCUCAUCCGGUACCCACAGUUUACAAGUAUAAGUCACCACCACCACCUCCUCAUCCGGUAUACAAGUAUAAGUCUCCUCCGCCACCACCACACCCAGUUUACAAGUAUAAGUCACCACCACCACCUCCUCAUCCGGUGCCACACCCAGUUUACCACUACAAGUCACCACCACCACCUCCUCAUCCGGUACCACACCCAGUUUACCACUACAAGUCACCACCACCUCCUCACCCAGUUUACAAAUACGAGUCUCCACCACCACCAGUUUAUAAGUACAAGUCACCACCACCUCCUCCACCAGUUUACAAGUAUAAAUCUCCUCCACCACCACCACCAGUUUACCACUACAAGUCUCCACCACCUCCUCCCCCAGUUUACAAAUACAAGUCUCCACCACCUCCUCACCACUACUAAGCAAUUGCUUCUGAGGUAAUAACACUUGUUCAAUAUACCCACUUCUGCAUGAUAAAGCAUAUCUCUAUCAACACAAACUGUCAUGUCUAUCAUGCUAAGUGCCUUCACUUCAUCCACCAAAAUGACUGCUAGAAAAUUUUUUUUAUGUUACCAAAGAAAGGCAUCAUUUUUUCCCUCUGUUAUCAAGAACUUGUACAGUAUAUAGAUUAAAGAGUAUUUUUUUAACUAGCUUAUCAACUGAGAAAUGCAUAUAGCUGAUAGCCAGCUGAAUAUUUGCAGGCAAAGGAGAAGGAAACCAUGUUUGAGACCUUCUUGAAGAUGUAGAAGCAUAAGAAUAAAAGCCCAAUGUGAAGAUGAUGAUUUCAAGUUUUUCUACGUUACCAUUUCUUUAUCUAAAUUGGUUGUAGCGCCCAAGUUCCUUUGUUUAUGGGAUUUGUAUCGUUUUACGUACCAUGCAGUACAUGUCAUGUUUGUAAGGUUUUCUAUCCUGCCGGCAAACCGCAGGUUCCAUGUGAUAAAUGAAUACUAUUUAUGUUACGACACUUUUCUCUGUUUCUCUUAUAUUUUGUCUUUAAUAUUCUUAAUCAUAUUUUUAACAAAAAUAUUCAAACACUUAGGCAAUCUGGUCUAAUGCUAAUUGUAUGUUUUACUUUUCUUUUUCACCUGCUCCCCUUUUCAACUCAAAAGGAUGCAAUAGUUUGUGAUCACUGUUUAAGACGGAAGCAUGAUACUAAUGAAUAUCUCAUUGAAACUCAAGGAAACUAACAUUGCGAAAAGUGUAAAUCUUGAUUUGAUGCAACUAUUUAUUCGUGGAAUCUAUAGUUACAAAACUCAAAUUCUGACUGCGCCAUUGAUAAAUUAUUAAUGACGCUAUCAUCAUUAUUUAUCCCUAACUAGUUUCGACUACAACUGAACCCAAUAUUUUCCCCAUGAUAAAAGUUUUUGACUAUUUUACUGGCCUCUCUUCAAAUUUUAAAAAUUACACUAAUCUUCAUUGAGAUUAAUUAUCUUGUAACAUUUAAGUCCAAUUAAUAAUUAAAAAAUGAUAUUAUGAGAGAGAAAAUAAUAUAAUUUUAUCAUUGCCCCCCAUCUUGCUAUAUUAUUUAAUUAAUUUAAUAGCAACCCACACAUUAAAGAAAAAUACUAAAAUUUGCUGCUUUUCAUUAAAGAUCAAAUUGCAUAUGCCAUAAAACAUAGUAUAUCAUUCUAUAUGUUUCACUUAAUGUAAGAUCCCAAUUGUUCUUUUCAAUUACAAACCCAUUGUCAAACAUGAUCAAUAACAAAUAAUCAAAAAAUUUGCAACCAAAAUAUUACAAAAAAAAACUUUAACAUCAUAAAUAUUCUUACCACCUCUAGUGCAUUCACCCUCAUAAAAUAAUUCAAGACCCUACUGUCAUAAAAUGACUGAUCAACUCCUGUAAACCUAAUUUGACAACAUUUAAAUGGAGAACUUUAGCUAAAAGAAUUAUGGUCAAGCUAAAGAAAAAACCAGUUAUUUUCCAACAUAUGCAACCAUUGAUCAGGGGAAAAAAAAAAGCAAAAAGACAUCUUCAAUCAUUUAAUAGCUUACAGGGCAAAUUAACCCUUGAGUGAAAACUGGUUGCUCUAGAAUUAAAAUUUUACCUUAGUUACCCAGGCAACUUUUUUGUUGCCUUUUCUUUUUCUUUUUUGGGUAUAUAGCUCCAGUUUUGCCCCCUCUGUCAAGCUUAUAUAAUUAUUAAGAUAAUAAAAGUGCCUUUAAUAGUAUUAAUAUAUCCAUUGACUUGAGCUGUCAUCGAUCGGUUUGGGCUACUUCGAUUCCAUGAGAACAAAUGGUAAUAAAAGUACUCAGAAAAUGGGGAGUCAUGAAACCCUUUUGUUCUAUUCAUUGCUAAGAUGCUUUUCUCUAUAAAGAGACUUCCUAACGAAAAUACUUUGUAGAUUUCUUUACUCCAAGUGGUGCAUGGAAAAUUAAUAUUUUCAAUUAUCAAAUAAAAUUCCCUUUUUUCGGCGUAGAUUUCAUCCAUCCAGCUGUUAACACAUUCUAUAAAUCCGAAUUGACUAAUCUUUUCGUUUCCAUUUUCCAACUUGCGAAUACGGCAUAUAGUGUCUGCUAAACACUAUAUAUUCUCUGCCAAAUAUGAAUACAUAUCACUUUUCUGAGCAAGUGCAGAGUCAUUAUCAUUUUUAUUCCCACCUAACAAAUUAGGGAUAAAAAAGUUAAUAAUCUUUACAUGCUAUCAGGUCACAAGUUAAUAAUCUUUUAAAGAACAUGUUAAAUUAAUUUAUUGGUAUGAAUAGUAGUCAAAGAAGUAUGUUAAAGUUAGUAAUCUUUAAAAUAAUAUGUUAAAAUCAUUCGUACAAAUUAGUCAGAGAAGUAGCAUAAACACCGCGAUGCAAUUAAUACUUUCAAUCUCAAGGUCUCUAUUAUGGAAAUUUGCAUCGGUCAAUAUACACUUGGCAUAAUAUAAUCUCCCAACUCAUUUCUUUACAAAUGCACCUUUAAUCACCACCAAAAGGUGUGGACAUGAUCUUUACCCUAGAAAACUAUUCACCGACAGGCAAAUUGACGUCAGAAAUACUGAGGAAUUCUAGUUUCCUUCGGGUUCAUGCCAUGUUGUAUCCUUCAACUGUAACUCGAUUUCUAAGCUGUAAUUUGUGACAUAAUAGUCCUUAAACUAUGAAACCCUUCUUACUUAAUUACAAUGGUUAAUACAAUGCCCGUGACUAGACAAGUAUGAAGCAACCAUAACAGAAAAAAAAUCCAAAAUUAGAGAAAAGAAAGAAGUUUCGCGACCACCACCAGUUUACAAGUCACCUCCACCACCUCCUCCAGUUUACAAGUCACCUCCACCACCUUACCAUUAUUCCUCACCACCACCUCCAGUGCAUUCACCCCCACCACCACCAGUUUACAAGUCUCCGCCACCACCUUACCAUUAUUCCUCACCACCACCUCCUGUGCAUGCACCUCCACCACCAAUUUACAAGUCACCUCCUCCAGUUUACAAGUCUCCACCACCACCUUACGAUUAUUCCUCACCACCACCUCCAGUGCAUUCACCCCCACCACCACCAAUUUAUAAGUCUCCCCCACCGCCUCCCCCAGUAUAUAAGUCACCACCACCACCUCCUCCAGUAUACAAAUCACCUCCACCACCUCCUCCAGUUGACAAAUCUCCACCACCACCAAUUUAUAAAUACAAGUCUCCUCCACUACCUCCUCCAGUGUACAAGUCAUCACCACCACCUGCUUACAAGUCUCCACCUCCUCCAGUUUACAGUUCCCCACCACCACCAAUCUACAAGUCUCCACCUCCACCCUACCAUUACUACUACAAUUCUCCUCCUCCUCCUCGUCACUACUAAGCAAUUGUAUCCAAGUUUUUGAGGUAAUAACGCUUAACCAAUAAAUUAACUUUCGCAUGAUAAACCUUAUCUCUAUCAAGACAAACUGCCAUGUGUAUCAUGCCAAAUACGUACACCUAGAUCCAUGAAAAUGAAUGGUAGAAAGUUUUCUUAAGAACCAAGAACAGCAUUAGUAUUCCCUCUGCUUCCAAAAACUUGUGUAUUAAAUAGAUUAAUGAAUUGUUUAACAUGCUCAUCUACUUGAAAAUGCACAAUACCCAUAACCCACUGAAAUUUUUGCAGGAAAAGGGAAAGAGAAUCUGUGUUUGAGAGCUUCAUGAAGAUGUUGAAGAAUAAGAAUAAAAGCCCAAUGCAAGGAUGUUUUCAAGUUUUUCUAUGUUUCCACUUUAAUUUGUAAAUUGAAUUUUGCGACUCAAUUAAUUCCCUGUUUGUGAGGUACGUAUUGUUUUACGUACCAUGCCGUACAUUUUUUUUUUCCAACAAACGGUAUCAUGUUAUAGAUAUUAACACUUGACCUUACAAGGAUUAGUUACAAAAAGGGGAUACUACCCUCAACUCUGUCCUAGCUAAAUCAGUCAGCCAUAUUGGGAAAUUAGUUUCCCAUUCAAUAUCAUGUACAAGCUUCACAGCAUAUUGUGCUAAUUGAUGGCUGAUGUGAUUUUCAGUUCUAGGUAUAAACACAAAAGAACAUUUUUCAAAAGCUAGACUAAGUUCCUGCACAUCUUCUAAGAUAGUUGCAGUCGUGUAGUCAUACUCCUUGCGUUUAGUAAUCUGCUCUACCACUGAUUUGCAGUCUGUAUGGACUAUAAUUUGUGUCCAACCUGCUUGGGUAGCCAUCAGCAGAGCAUUUCUCACAGCCCGAGCUUCCACUUCACUUGCCGAUCCCUUUCCCUGUGUGACAAUUCCUUUUGCUUUCAAAAGCUGUCCUUUCCAAUUUCUUGCUAUAAUCCCUUGUCCGGUCCUGACUCGUUUAGCUGAUAUCGCUGCAUCGGUAUACAGCCUUAUCUCUUCCUUCCUUGGCCGCACUCUCCUGGUAGGUAAGGCAUCAUUCAGCUUCCCUGCGAUCUCCUUCUGGUCUGUACUCCCUACCUGUUCAAACUCAAGCCAUUCCUCCUGUGCUUUCCUUACUAUUUUUACUGGAUCCUGGUUGGCUUGUUCAAAAAAUUUUUUGUUCCUGGCUUUCCAAAUUUGCCAAAGGAUAUUGAUAGUAAGACUAACUCUCUCCUGACCUUGGUUCAGUGCCAGCGAUUGUGUGACUUGUUCCCACCAUAACCAAAAGUUAUAUUGCAUACCCAGUAAUCCAUCCCACCUGACCGGUGCUAGCUUCCACGUUUCCACAGCCUUUUCACAGAAGAAAAACAAAUGCUCAAUAGUUUCCAUAUCUUCACCACAGCAACCACAUCUGCCUUCCCCUCUAUGUAGCCUUUUCGACAUCUGUUCAUUGACUGGCAGACAAUUUUGUAAGCACUUCCACAUGAAGUGUUUUAGUUUGGCCUUCACCUUCAAAUGCCAUAGCUGCUUCCACACAUUUCGUUUUCGUAUCUCCCAACUUGUUUCUGCCUCUUGGCCUGUCCUUGUACCUGCUUUUCCUUCCCGUUGCCUUGCUAAAGCAUAACCAGAUUUCACGCUAUAAAUUCCAGCUUUGGAAUGCCCCCAUACCAACCUAUCCUUUCUUCUUCCUAUACUUGUUGGAAUUCCCUUUAUGUGCUCUGCAUCUUUUGCACAAAACCACUUGAGAAGCAAAUCAUUUUUCCAUUUCCCUUCCUCUAUCAGCUCACUUACCCAUUCCAACUUGCAUCCCACAGGUUGUGUGGUUGAUGCAAAGCCGGUAUCUGAACCAACUAUCCAUCUGUCCCGCCACAUGUUGACUGACUUGCCAUCUCCAAUUCUUUUCCAAAGACCAUCAUACAGAAAGGAGGCUGCACUAUGAAUACUCUUCCAACACCAUGAGGCUGAAGAGACUGGCUUCUUGUCCAUCCAUUUUUCAUCACUCAUAUACUUCGCCUUCAUUACCUUACUUACUAACAAAUUUGGAGCCAUUAAGAAUCUCCAAAUUUGUUUUGCCAGUAAUGCUGUGUUGAAGGCCUCCAAAUCUCUAAAGCCUAAACCUCCUCUUCCCUUAACUUCUAAGAGCUUCUUCCAGCUUGCCCAAUGUACACAGGUACCCUUUUCUCCCUUCCCCCACCAGAAACUCGCUAUUUUACCUGUGAUUUGUCUACACAAACCCCUUGGAAGUCUAAAGCAAGCCAUCACAUAUGUUGGCAUAGCCAUAAUCACUGAUUUGACCAGAAUUUCUUUCCCUCCUUGGCUCAACAGUUUUUGUUUCCAACCUUGCAACUUGUUACUAAUUUUGUUCUGGACAAAUGCAAAGACCUGUGUCUUUGAUCUUCCAAUUGCCAUUGGGAGUCCUAGGUAGGUUCCAUUCCUUGCCUCUUUAAUGUUAUCUAAUACCUCCCUCACUCCAUUCUUCCUUUGAUCAGUGGUAUUUUUGCUAUAGAAGAUAGCUGACUUUUCAAAAUUCACCACCUGUCCGGAUGCUUGACCAUAUCUUUCCAAUAUGCUUUUGACCUUCCUCGCCUCCUGCUUGGUUGCUUGGCAGCAUAGUAGAGAAUCAUCUGCAAAAAAUAGGUGAGAAACCAUCGGACUGUCCUUGCAUAUUUUGAUCCCUGUAAUUUCCUUGUUCAUCAUAGCUUUAUGGAUCAAACAUGAAAGACCUUCAGCGCAUAUAAUAAACAAGUACGGGGAUAGGGGGUCUCCUUGUCUAAGCCCUCUACUCGGUUGAACACAGCCUACCUUUUGCCCAUUUAAGUUGAAGGAGUAAGUCACAGUAGAUAGGCAAGACAUGAUCCAUUUAACAAAAAUUGGACAAAACCCCAUUUUCAUCAUAACUCUCCCCACAUAUUUCCAUUCGACUCUAUCGUAAGCUUUGGACAUGUCCAGUUUAAGAGCCAUAAAUCCUACCCUUCCCUUUCUCCUAUUUUUCAAAAAAUGCAGGAUUUCAUGUGCAACUACUACAUUAUCAAGAAUUUGACGGCCUGGGAUAAAAGCGGAUUGAGAGGGACUAAUACAAUGAUGCAAGACACCUUUCAAUCUAUUAGCUAUGAUUUUAGAAAUGAUUUUAUACAGGACAUUGCACAAGCUAAUAGGUCUAAAAUGCACCACAGAUUCAGGAGUAUCAACUUUAGGAAUCAACGAAAUAAUAGUAUCAUUCACAGCUUUGAGCAAAUGCCCAGUAUGAAAGAAACUCUUAAUAGCUGCUACCACAUCAUCCUUGAUAAUAUCCCAAUAGUGUUGAAAAAAUAGAGGAGACAUACCAUCCGUUCCUGGUGCUUUAUUAGGGUGCAUCGAGAACAAAGCUUUCCUGAUCUCACUUUCCUCCACUUGUCGUAUCAGUUGUCCAUUCAUAUGACUCGAAAUAGUGCUUGGAAUUUCAGCUAGAAUGUCCUCAAAGCAGUCCGGGUUAGUAGUGGUAAAAAGGUCUUUAUAGUACUCACAAAGUUCCUCCUCAAUCUCAUGUUCCUCCUUGCACCAUGUCCCAUCUUUUUUCUGCAAUAUAGUGAUCUUAUUUCUCCUCCUCUUUGCCAUGACCGAAGAAUGGAAAAAAGCUGUAUUCUUGUCCCCUUCUUUGAGCCACUUGUUCCUGGAUUUUUGACUCCAAAACAUCUCUUCCUCUGCAUAAGCUUUAUUCAAUUGUGCUUUUAGUUCAGCCACUUGUACUCUUUUCCCUUCAUCCUUUCUUGCUUUCACUUCAGCCAAUUUCUCCUUUAACACUUUAAUUCUAACCUUUGAGUUUCCCUGCACCUUUUUCCUCCAAUCCAGAAUAGCCAUGCGACAUUCCUUUAUUUUUGUAGCCACUCUAAACAUCCUGGACCCUGACUUCACCUUUGUCCAUGCUCCUUGAAUCACCCUUUUUGCUUCUGGAUUUAGCGUCCAUCGUUGAUCAAAGUAAAAUCUCCGUUUUCUCCUUGUGUUUUCCGGGUUUGUAUCCACAAGAAGCAUUAGAUGAUCAGAGGCUUCAGUAUCUAAAUGAGUACACUGUGCCUUUUCAAAUCUUUGCAGCCAUUCGGUGCUGCAUAAACAUCUAUCCAACCUCUCUUUCACUUCCCCAUCCCCCUCCCAACUAUUGCACCAAAUCCACGGGACCCCUUGAUAACCUAAGUCAACCAGGUUAUUGUCUUUGAUAAACCUGUUGAACUCCCUAAAACAUCUUUCAGCUCUAUCCCUUCCUCCCCACUUCUCCUCACUAGACCUCAAAUCAUUAAAAUCUCCUACAAUGAUCCAGCCAUCCCCCCAGUCCCUCAUCCUGUCCUCUAAAUAUUUCCAUUGUGCUUUUCUAAUGUUACUAUCUGUGCUUGCAUAAACACACACUAGCCCCCAGUAUCCUUUAGUAUCCUUGUCCUCAACUCUAGCACUAAUACACCAAUCAGUACUUACAAUCUGGUCUAAAAUCACCUCAUUGUUCCAGAAUAAUGCUAGACCGCCUGCUUUACCUAUUGAAUUCACAAAAAAGCUAUUGUCAUACUGAAUCUUCCUUUGAACCUUGCCCAUAAACCCUUCCUGAUUCUUAGUUUCACAAAGGAACACCACCUUAGGAGAGUGGAAGUUAGUCACUUCCUUUAGUUGGGGACUUGUCAAGGGGCCUCCUACACCUCGACAAUUCCACACCACAACCUUCAUUUACACUUUGGAGGCUUUCCGGGGCUAGCCUCCAUUUCCCCUAUUGUACUAACAUUUAUUAGAUCCAGUUUCAUAACCUUUACCUUCGGUACAUUAUCAUCAUCCUCCUCUAUCGGUUGUGUUCCCUGAAACAUACCAUCAGCCUUCCUUUUAGCACACGAAACCUGCGUUACUUGUCCAUUUGUAUCUGCCUUUAAGGAUGUUUUAGCCGGCCUCCCUCUUCUUUUAAAACUGCUUCUUUUUUCAGCUUUGUUAUCUUCUUCCCCUGGAGUAGCCUCCUUUCUUGGCAUUCUUGCAUUUGUCUCCUCCUGCUUUAUUGACCCUACCCGCAAACUUUCACAUUCCUGUUUUGAGCUGUCCGUUUCCAUAUCCUCAUAAUCUACUGGUGGGAUUACGCUGCUCCCUCCUUUACUCCCUUCCUGUACCCUACCCUCCUUUUCACCAUUUCCCUCCAUUAAGACCACAGCCAAACUUUCCACCCGUUGGUUUGCCUUUCCAUACUGCCUGCUGUCUUUUAGAAUCUCAUCCCACCUCUCUUCAUAUUGUCUCGUCAUCAUUUUCUCCUUAUCCCCCCUUUCCUUUCCCCCCAAGACUCUACCAUUUUUUCCCCCAAGAGUUAAUGUAUCUCCAGCCAUUUGUACUCCAGUUUGAACUUCACUACUAGGAGACCCUGCCCCCACCCUCCUUGCAUCAAUUUCACUUACUCCUUCCAGCCGUCCCUUUAAGGGAGAUACCAUUAUAUUUCCAGCUCUCAUCCAGGCACCAUAUUGUUCCUCUCGCUUCUCCCCCCCACCCUUCCUACCACAGUACAAGUCCUAUCACUAUGCCCAAUGAUACCACACCUAUAACAGAAAUCAGGGCAGCGUUCAUACCUGAACUCAACCCACACUGCCUGGUUCUUACAGUUGAUCUUUGUCCCUCUAACCAGUGGUUUCGUUAUAUCUACCUCAGCCAUAAUCUUCAUGUGGCGACCCUCUUUCCCACCACUUCCUGGGAGAAUCACUCCCCUCACUGAUUUAAAGAUCCCUCCUAUUUUCAAACCCACUGCUCUGCUCAACCAGUGCACCGGUAGGUUCCAUAGUUGAAUCCAAAGAAAGGAAUGCUGGAAAAAGCUGCUGUUUGUAUCAUACCCCUCUACCCACUCCUUCACUAUCAGCAACUGGUUGUCCAUGACCCAAGGCCCUCCAGAUAAGAUCUUUUUCUUUUCCCCUUCAUCUCCCAGAUGGAAAUGGAAUAAGUUAGGACCUAACUCAGUCACUUUCAUCUUUGAGGGGUAUCCCCAUGCAUGAUUUGUAAAGUUCUUUAACCCCGUAAAGUUGGCAAUUUUUUCACCAAUCAGCUUUCCUACCAGGCUUCCUUGACACUCAGAGACGCCUUCUUCCAGGUCCUCACCACUCAGAUCGACACCUCCUAACUCUGUUUCAGACAAGUCAAAAUUUUGAAAGGCUCUUUCUAAAGCAUCCGCCAUUGCUGUGACGAGAGCUCCUUGAGAAACCAAGCACUAUUUCUGAGCUAUGAGUGACCCACUGACAGACCUGUGAAGAAUUGCAAAGACAGACAAAGCUGUGUUAUCCGUACACACUAAAAACCAACCAGAAAAACAGAGAGGAACUCGACAGAAAAAGCACAGGCACAAGAAGAAACGAAAGAAAAAAGAAAAACCAACAAACCACUAUCCCACUCCCGACCACAUAACAGCAUUAAAGAAAGGGACACAAAUACGACACUCCAACUUCCGAUCACAUGCUCUGACUCAAUGGAUCAUAUCUUGCCCAAAGCGUUUACUCCUCCAACCGAUUCCAAACCACUACAGACAUUGUCUCCCAUUUUGAAGCCGGAAGAAAGGUGGCUUCUGGACAGGGAACAUGAAAGCAAAGGUUGAACUAAAGAUUUGAUUUUAGAUCUGAAAAUUACGCUGUAGGAAAAAGUGCUAUGUGUUUGUACCUCACCCACUCUCCCACACCGAGGAGGGGAACCUCUAAAGUUAGAGAGAGAAGCUCUCAAGUUAGAGAGAAGCUUUGGAAGUUAAUUACCAACGUACCAUGCCGUACAUGUUUGUAAGGAUUUCUAUCCUAUUGGCAAAAGUCGGUUCCAUACAAUUAAUCAAUUCAUUUCACUUCUAUUGGCUCUACUAUUUAUGCAUGUUACGACACUCUUUCCCUUAUAUUUUGCCUUUAAUAUUAUGAGUCAAUAGUAAUAAUGGGCCUUUUUCUUAAAAUUAUACUAUUAUACAUAGGUAGUUUGGUCUAACGCUAAAUUCAUGUUUGUCUUUCUUUUAUUCCCUUUACAUCUCAAAGUAUACUAUAGUUUGUAAUCAUUGUGGUGAUGAUAUUACCAGCUGGUACUUAUAGUUUAAGGCAGAGACAUGAUAUUAACAACUAUCUCAUUGAAACAUAAGUCAAAAUCAUGACAAGUGUGAGUCUUGGUUAAUGCACAAUUUGUUAGUGGAAUUUAUAUUUAUAAAACUCAAAAAAAAUUUUUGACAAUGCUAUUACUAAUUAAUUAAGGACUUCAUUGCUAUAAUUUAUCGCUUACUAAUUUAAACUAUAAAUGAUCUCAAUACUUUUCUCCAUGAUGUCGAUUUCUUUAGACUACGAAAGGGAAAAAUUAGUGACAUAUCCCUUACUGAUUACAACAUCAGCAAAAAUUAGUUAUAAACUUUUCCGGUGGUUUUAAAUCCCUCGGGCACUAAGGUUUUUUGCACAUCGAGUGAAUUAAGGAACAUAGGCAAUUCGUUCUGCAUACCAAGUCCUUGUUUAAGAUGCACGUACUAAAAUGCAUCCACUUCAUUAAUUUGGAAAAUUGCCAUAGUUUUUUUUAAGCAUUUUGAUUUUUUACAUGAUUCAAAAUUUUCUUAUUGGAUACAAUCACUUUGUGUCAAGAACACAUUUUCAAUCAUCUUUUUUAUCUUCUCAAUAAGAAAAUAAAAAUUUAUUCAUGCUUUUCUAACAUAUCCAAUCAUUGAUCUGAAAAAUAAAGAAUUAAAAAAAAAAGACAUUUUCAAUCAUUGCUUACGGGGCAACUUCCCCAUGUGAACCUCAUCAAACAAAGCCAAUAAUAUGAAGGAACAUCUAAAUACACUUUUGCCCUAAAGGCUGGUUGCCUUGGGGUCAAAAUUUAACCUUCGGGAGUAUAAUUACCCGCCAAAUUUAUUAUUUUUUUUAUGGGUAUAUAGUUCCAAUUUUGCCUCCUGUUAAGCUUAUAAAUAUAUUACGACCCAGAAAAUAAAGGAAUCUUGAAUAGUAACAUGUCCAUUGACUUGAGUUGUUAUCAAUUUGGCUACUUCGAUUCCAUGAGGCCAAUCCAAUUCACACUAGCUAGAGAAAAUGGUGAUAAAGGCACUUAGAAAUUUAUAUGUAAUAUUGAUUGGUAGUAACUGAUAAGUAUAUAUUUUACGUGUUUUAAAUAUGUUUUAUUAGUUAGUUUUGGUGUGUUUUAACUACUUUUAUAACUAAUUAACUAGGAAUCUAGUGAAAAUAUGCAUUUUGUGGUUUGAAGUGUAAAAAUUGUAUUUCUAUGGAUUUUAAUGGUGAAAACUUCAUGUUUUUGUAGGUUUAAUGAUUCAAUCAUCAAAUGACAUGAUUUGAGAAGAUAAUUAGAUGAUUGAUGAUGUUUUGAAGUGAUAAAAAGAGAAUACAAAGUGCAAGAGAGGAAAUGCAAUCAAGAAUAAAAGAAGAAAAUUUUUGUAGCUUUGACAUAUUGUCGUAUUUCGGCAAUAUAUUGAGCUACAAUGAUCGGAUUAAGGUGAUUCUUAAACCAUUUGAAGCUAAAAUAUAGAUCUACAUUUGGCAUGAAGGCAUCGAAACCCAUGUCAGUCAUUUUCCUUGUCAAAAUGUUGAAAUACAGAAGUGCAACUCUGUUCUCGAAAGCUAAAACAGAGCUCUGGCUAGUCGAGGGUAUUUUCAUCAUUUCUUAGUCCACAGAGCUCCAAAUGAGAUGAUUCUUAAGGCAUUAGAACCCUAACUCAAAGAGCUACAACUUUCAUAUUUUGUACAAGAGUUAGUUCGGCCUCUAUCAUUAAGAAAAUAGUAGUUGAAGUGGUGCCAAAUGCAUAGAAGUGAAAACGCGAGCUAUCAAUACUCGACCUGAAGUCGCGUAUUCCUGAGGUCAUGCAUUCUCUUCUAUUUUCUGCAACUUGCCCUGCUUUCACAUAACUUUUUCAUCUCAAUUCCAACUAUCAAUUUCGGCUAUAUCUGAUCAAGAAAAGUGUGGAAAGUUUGAAAGACAACUCAUAGGAGUUUCAAGAGUCAAAAAUUACAAUUAGAAACAACUCAUUUGGCUCUUGAAUCCUCUAUAAAUAGAGGCCUUUGAAGAACAUUUUCACAACUUUGGAAGGUUAGAGAAACUCCACAAAAACAUAGUCUUCACUAGAAUUUCCUUAGUUCAUUAGUUAGGGUAGUAUAGUAUAGUUAGUGUAGCUUUUCCUUCUUGUAUUUAUAGUUAGGUUUGAAUGAAGAUUCAGGAGCAAAGAUAGAGAGGUUGAUCUCAUGUGACAAGGGUGAUAUCUCUUCUACUACUUUCUCUUUUGUAUUUGAUUUCAUAUUUAACUAUACUACAAAUUUGGCUUUGUUUUUUUUUUUUUAUCAUGUUUAGUUAAAGUUUAUGCCUAGAGUAUGGAUGACCUUUUUAUAUCUUGUUUGUGAUAUUUAACUGGUUAUUUGAUGAUGUUAUUUUUGAGCAAGUUAUUUAUCACUUUUGCUUUUCUAAUCAUGAUUAACUGGCCAUUAGUUGUGAUUAUCUAAAAGUGUUAAGUUUGUAAUGAGAAUUGGAGUUUAACACUAGUUCAAGGAAGUGAUAAAUUUAGGGAGUUCACUCAUGAGAGUAGAGGAACACCUUUGUGACCUAAGUGACUUGUUUCAUAUAAUUUCAUAGAAAAAAUGAACUUGUAAUUAAUUUCAUAACCACGAGAGUAAGUAUGGUUUAGCUAUAUGUAUAGUUGAUUCACUACGAGAGUAGGUUUCACAUACAUUAGAAAAUUACAUCAUAACUAGUCAAGAUAAUAUCAUUCAUUUAAUCAGUAAUCUCAUUUGCAUGAGUAGUAAGGCAUUCCAUAUCUCUAGGAGGUUUUUAGUAUUAUUUUCAUUACUUUUAUGUUUAUGGUAGUCUAGAUAAUAAUGGAGUUCGAAAACUACUAGUAAUUGAAAAUUUUCCCUGUGGGAUCGACCUUUAAUACCCUAUACUCGCUCUCGACUCGUAUACUUGAGAAAAAUCACGUGUGCGGUAUUUAGAAUUUAUAAAUGUAAAACUUGACUGUAGAUGAACUAAUUGAUAUAUGUAUACCCCGCACUCGUCAGUAACCAGCUUGUAUUGAUCCCACUAUUGUGGAUAAUUGUGCUCUUAUGAAAAAAAAUUAUAAAAAAAUUAGCAAAAUUUAUGAUAACAAAUUAAAUUUAUUCAUACAAAUCAGUGAAAGAAGUAGAAUUUUAAAGUCCAUGAUGAAAUUAAUACUUUCAAGGGCUCUAUUAGGAAGACUUCACUUGUUGGUGAAACUACACUAGCACAGUUAUAUGCACAUUUACUGUUUUGGUAUCUAAUUUCCUUGCCUUAAGUUGGGUGCAGAUGUUUAUAUUACAAAUAGAUGGUAUCAUAAAAUUGUUGUAUUCACGUUUGUUCUUUUUUUUCUUCCUUAAGUUUUUUUCUUUAUUCUCGUGACUUCAAAAAUACGAACUCAAGAAAUUGGCUGCUUAAUCAAUAUGUCAUACAGGCUUCGCUAGUGAGGUAUAACUUCACAACUAGAGUCAAUAGAAAUUAUCAAAUGAUUUUUUAACAUCCAAAUUAAGCAAUAAAUUUUGUUUUCAUUUUAUGACAUAUAAUAGUACUACUUCAUGAGAGAUUUUAUAGUUUCUUUUAGGUAUCAUACCUACAAGUGAUAUUUGUCAUUGGAUAGUGACAGAAGUGUUAAUGAUUGUAAGAUUAAAUAUUGUUAAAUAUUGAAAUUUAAACUAUUUAUCUUUAUUGAAAGAUACAAGUUAAAGAAUCGUUCAAGGGGGCAAUUUUCCAUCUUGUCUUUUUGAAAAAACGCUAUCACAUUGUAUAGGCAUGAUAGGUUCAAAUUUGUCAUUAAAUUUAUGAUUGAUUUUCCUUUUAUUCAAGCCAAAUAUUGUUUUAAUUAUCAAAUUCUACUUAUAUUUGGUUAAUUGUACUAAUUGUAGGGCGGUAGAGCAAAAGUUGCUAAAAAUAGGCGAUUUUCUGCAAAUUGGUUGUCAAGGCUGAAGGAUUUGGGAUUCGCAUGUUCAAGGCCUGUUUCCAAGUUUGAUUCAAACUCUGGACAGUUUUAGAGGAAGAUUUGGAAGAUUUGAAAUUUCAUUAUUAGUUUUAUGGUUGAAUUAGGAAUCUUGGAAUAAUUUCUUUUGUGAUUUAUUUUUCUAUUUAGGAGACUAGUUGUUAUUUAGUAGUAGACUUCAAUUAGAAAACAAAGAGAAAAAGAAGGCCGGAAUCCCGCUUGAUUAAUACCUUGGCCAGGGAACAAUCUCGGUGGGGAGGACGGCCACUUAGCCUCUCAAUUCAUCUUGCUUUUCGUUAGUUUGAGAGGAAAACCAAUUGCAACUAGAUUCAAUGGAGUCUGGCAGAAUUUCUUCUAGGAUGCGUAGCUAAAUCCUCAAUUUUUAGUCGAAGGUCAAUUUGAAAAUUCGGUUCCAAAUAUCUGUGAAAUCGAAUUAUUUUACUUAUUUCUUUUAUUUAUUGGUAUUCGCACGUUUUCUGAUUUAACUUUUUAUGAUUGUUUUGUUAUUUGAAUGUCAAGGGUCCGAUAUUCGAAUUAACUUAAUAAUCUACUGCCAAAUUAACCGGUUAAAUCCGUAAUUGUUUGAUUGAUUAAUAUCAGUGGCGACUAGCGUGAUUGGUCCCAUGUUAGGAAAACGUCUGAUCUAAUUUAAACAAACCGUCGUAGCGUGUUUGUUGAUUAGGGUUGGGCUUUUCUAAUUCUUAAUUCAAUUGAGAAAUUAAAUCCCCCGGUCGUACCUAGGAUUAUUUUUUUGUUAGCGAAAUAGUUAAUGGUCGUACCUUGACUAUCGAAAAAGUAAGGAAGAGUUGAUUGUUUAUCGCGUGUACGACAACUAUAAUCAAUCUAUUAAUGAGUAAUUGAAUUAUCUUUGCAUCAGUAAUCAGUUGAAUGGACCGUGUCUGAAAAGUUGUACCUUUGGCUAGAGUCUUAUCUGUUGUUGAUUCAUUCAUAUCUAUCUUCAUGCGUUGUUUUAAUUUAGUUAAUUAGUUAUUUUUAUAAAAACCCCUCAUCUCUGGACUCUAAAAGAAAUAAAUUAUUUCUAGUUCCUGUGGAUUCGAUCCUACUCACCAUACAAUCCAACCUGCAAUUGUAUGAACCCCAAUCUCGCUUCCUAGUCCACCAUUUUUCUCUAGGUAAUAAUCUCCCUUCUAAUUUCUUCACAAAAUGCACCUUUCAUCACCUCCAAUAGCGUCGACAUGAUCUUUACCCCAGAAGACUAUUCACCGACUCUCAAUUGACGUUAGAAAAUCUAAGAGUAAUUCUACUUUACCCUAAGAUUGAUAUCAACAAGACAAGGACAAUUUAGAAUUAUUACACGCCUCUUCUUAAUAGGAAAAAGAAAUAGAGAAGAAAGUCAGGCCAGGUCUAAUUUCUUUUCAAAGGCAAUACAACAUUACGAAAUCAAGCAUUCAUUCAUACAAAUAUUUCAUAGUCACCGGUUUGCUGAGUAGAAAAAUUUAGACAAAAACUUAAUAUUAUAUUGUUUAAGAGUUAACAAUUUAGAGCUUAAUCUCCUUGUACUUUGGAGUUAACAAUUUAGAGCUUAAUCUCCUUGUACUUUGGACUAAACUUGAACGUGAAAGGAAAUCCCAAAACCAUAUUGGGCAUGAAUUCACACUUAAUAUACCCAAUAAAAGAUGGCGACUGGUGAAAGGCAGUGGAGACUGGUGGAGAGAUUUGAGGAAUAGAAGCAGACGGAAAAGCAACAAAUUUUUGCCGAAAAACGGUCACUUUCAUGGUUAAUUUUGCUACUCUCCAAUUGUACUUGACCAAUUACAACAAUUUCAUGGAGUUUGAUACGUGAAAAGAAUUUUUUAUAAAUUUUAUUUUGAUCCAUAAUGUUAUCUUUACAUAUAUAAAACAUUUUACAAUUUUGAUUUUGGCGCAGUUAACUUUUGGUAAACAAAAAUGCUCAUGUUUAAAAAACCGGAAAUAAAACAAAACAAGAAACAAAAGAAAUAAGAGGGUAGCAUAGACAUUUUGGAUUUUUCCGUUAAUUUGGAUGAUUUCCACCCACGUUCUAAUUUAAUCCAAAACACAAAGGAAUUACGUAGAGGUUUUAAAUAAUGAGGGAGCUUCAUGAUCGAACCCCAAACCACAAGGCGAUUUACUAUAUUUUACUCUUAAAUUUUGGUUUCAUCUCAUAGCAUACAAGAGUUCUAUUUCACUAUCUGUAGACAAAGACUUUCUAUGGUUGAUGUACCAUAGGAAAAAAUCUGCCUAUACAACGUGAUAGCAUUUUUUCAAAAACACAAGAUGGAAAAUUGCCCCCUUAAACGGGGAAAUUCAUGAUCUUUCCUCGAACAAAGAAUACUCACGCCUAUUCAAGAUGGAAAAUUGCCCCCUUAAACGUCUAUUUGUCAAUUCUUGAAAAAAGAAUACUCACGCCUAAAACACGGCCUCUUCAUCUGCAGAAUUCUAAAAAGUUAGGUAAACUCUAUAAACAAGUUGAUAGGUACAAUCGUACCCAAGAUCAAGUACAGAUAGUUGUACAUUCACUGCUGCAAUAACUAAUCUGAUGACUUACAAACAUAUCAUGGUCAAUCGUUGAAUGGUAAUGAGUCUUUUGUUAUGCAUUAGUAUUAGUGUGUACACUCUAAUAGAUUGAUACUUAUACUCUUUAAAUUAUCAUAAUAAUACCCUUAAUUAACUUUAACUCUUAAAAAGAAUACGUGUUAAUACACGAGAGUGUGUAACCUGAAUUGUUACUUAUACAUUAGUGUGUAAUAGAUAGGGAUGGCAAUGGGGGCGGGUGCCCGCAGGCAACCGCCCCGCGGGGGGCUCUCGGGGCGGGGAGGGGGGAAUUUUUUCCCCCCGUUUAGAAACGGGGCAGGGGACGGGGGAGUAUACCCCCGCCCCAUCCCCCGCAAAAAAAAUUAUAUAUAUAUAAUUAUAUAUAAUAUGUAAUUUAAUUAGUUAUAAACUUAUGAUAAUGAUAUUAUUAGUUAGAUGUAUUAUAUAAUGUAUAUUAGUGUAUGUAAUAUAAUUAAUAUUAUCAAUUAUACGAAUAAUUAGACAUGUCUACUAAUAGAAUUUAUUAAUUAGUUAUACUAAAUUUACUAAUACAUUUAUACUAAAUUUCUAAUUACAUUUAAUAGAAUAACACUUUUUUCUAAAAAAAAAAGCACAAACACAAUAAUGAAUUAGUGAUUGUAUUUUUACCAAAAAUGAAAACUUAACUAUUUUAGUUGCAUUUAUUUCAUCAUGUUGGAUUGUAUUCAAAUAAUUUUUGUUUGAUUGUUUUUAUGAGUUUCAAUUGUAAAAUUAAAAUGAAUAAUAACUUGAUGAAUAAUAAUGUCAAUCGUUGAAUGGUGUGUACACUCUAAUAUUAUGCAUUAGUAUUAGUGUGUACACUCUAAUAGAUUGAUACUUAUACUCUUUAAAUUAUCAUAAUAAUACCCUUAAUUAACUUUAACUCUUAAAAAGAAUACGUGUUAAUAACUCUUAACCUGAAUUGUUACUUAUACAUUAGUGUGAAAUAGAACGGCAAGCAUUGAGCAACUUAUAGGAGAAAUAGUCCUAUAAGCUGUUGGAUGACUAAUAUAGCUCUAGCUGUAAUGUUUUAAUUAAAUUACAUCACUAACGUUGGGAUGACUAAUGGUUUAAAAAUAAUUGAGUAAUUGGAAAAAAAAAAAGAGACUAAUUUUCAUUGAAACCCACCGACAAACUAAACGUGUCCAUGGCUUUUGAAUAGUGCAUUCAACGUUUAAUUGUAUAGUCCAGUUCAUUGCAGAUUACAUGGAGUAAAGAUUGUGCUCUUUCCUUUUUCACCCCUUUUGGAAUCGAUACUGUGGAGAAUUGGGUUUUUCCCUUCUUUUUUUCUUUUCUUUCUUUCUGUGCUUUGCAAAACAUAGGUAAAAUUAUGAAAUCCGAAGCAUUCUUUAAUUGGGAUUAAGUAUUGUUCUUGAAAUUAAAAAGAAGAAAGAAAGAACAACAAAAUUCCCUGAUUGGUUGCAUCGUGCUUCCAUAGAAGCUCUCUUAGUGUGAUACACUGCUUUCAAUCAGUUUAACAUGGAAAAAAGAAAGAGAUGAAAAGCAAAUUUGGUGGGGAUAAUUUCAGAAACCUCCCCUGAAGAUUUUGACUAUUCUACUGGUCUCCCUUCAGAUUUUAAAAAUUACACUAAUCUUCCUUGAAGUUAUAACAUUUAAAUUCAAUCAAUAAUUUAAAAAAUGAUAUUAUGAAAGAGAAAAUAAUAUGAUUUUAUCAUUGCCCCCCAUCUUACUACAUUAUUUAAUUAAUUUAAUAGCAACCCACACAUUAAAGAAAAAUAUAAAAUUUGUUAUUUAUCAUUAAAGAUCAAAUCGCUUAUAACAUCAAAUAAUAGUAUAUUAUUUAUAUUUUUCACUUAACAUAAUAUCCAAAUUACUCUUUUCAAUUACAUACUCAUUGUUAGACAAUCAACAACAAAUAACCAAAAAAUUUGCAACCAAAAUAUUACAAAAAAAAAUAAACUUUAACAUCAUAAAUAUUCUUAUCAACAUAUUAAAGUUAGUUACUGAAAUUUUUAUGGUGUUAAACUUCACUCUUUGUAAUAUUUUGGUUACAGAUUUUUUUUGAUUAUUUUUUAUUAAUUAUGUUUGAUGAUGGGUUUGUAAUUGAAAAGAAUAAUUUAAAACUUACAUUAAGUGAAAUAUAUAGAGUGAUAUACUAUUUUUUAUAACAUAUGUGAUUCAAUCCUUCUUGAUAGGAUUGGUAAUAGAGGUAGAGGGGGGAGUCGGCUGCAUCCGGUCUUCUUUUCAUAGAUAGUACAAUAUUGCGAAAUCAAUCGCAUUCACACAAUAAUAUUUCGAAGUCAAUGCAUGGCUAAGUUGCAUAAAAGUACGAACACUUGUUAUUAUAUAGCUUAAGAUUCAAAACUUUAGAGCAUAACCCUCCACCUAACACAAUUGAAUAAUGAAUAUUCACGUUUGUCAAAUCUGUCAAAGCACAGUUUGAGGACAACCCAUUCCAACCUGCAAAAGAUUUUUUACUUUUCUAAAGUUGUUGAGAGCUGUAAAAAGACCUACCAUGCUUACAUCCUCCGAGCCUUGGGAGUUAAAAAUGAAGGCACUGAGUGCUAUAAAAAGGGGGCUAGAGGCUGCCUAGAAGCAUAUCAGCCUAAAACAAGAAUUUGUUGUUAUGAUGGGAAGCAAAGCAAAAGCAAUGGGGUCUGGGCUGACUCCUCUUCUUGCCACUGUUUUAGUGGUAUUUGUUGCUCUUGGCUUGCCCUCAGAAACAGCAGCUGAUGAUCACUACAAGUAUUCAUCUCCUCCUCCUCCUUACCACUAUCCCUCACCACCGCCUCCAGUGCAUUUACCUCCACCAGUGUACAAAUACAAGUCCCCACCACCACCUCAUCAUGUUUACAAGUACAAAUCUCCACCACCCCCACCACCACACCCAGUUUACAAGUAUAAGUCACCACCACCACCUCCUCAUCCGGUACCACACCCAGUUUACAAGUAUAAGUCACCACCACCACCUCCUCAUCCGGUAUACAAGUAUAAGUCUCCUCCGCCACCACCACACCCAGUUUACAAGUAUAAGUCACCACCACCACCUCCUCAUCCGGUACCACACCCAGUUUACAAGUAUAAGUCUCCUCCGCCACCAGUUUACAAAUAUAAGUCUCCUCCACCACCACCUCCAGUGUACAAGUACAAGUCUCCACCACCACCAGUUUACAAGUACAAAUCACCACCACCUCCUCCCCCAGUUUACAAAUACAAGUCUCCACCACCACCAGUUUACCACUACAAGUCACCACCACCUCCUCACCCAGUUUACAAGUACAAAUCUCCUCCACCACCAAUUUACCACUACAAGUCACCACCACCUCCUCCCCCAGUUUACAAAUACAAGUCUCCACCUCCUCCUCACCACUACUAAGCAAUUGCUUCUGAGGUAAUAACACUUGUUCAAUAACACUUGAUAGCCAGCUGAAUAUUUGCAGGCAAAGGAGAAGGAAACCAGUGUUUGAGACCUUCUUGAAGAUGUAGAAGCAUAAGAAUUAAAGCCCAAUGUGAAGAUGAUGAUUUCAAGUUUUUCUACGUUACCAUUUCAAUAUCUAAAUUGGUUGUAGCGCCUUAGUUCCUUUGUUUAUGGGAUUUGUAUCGUUUUACGUACCAUGCAGUACAUGUCAUGUUUGUAAGGUUUUCUAUCCUGCCGGCAAACCGCAGGUUCCAUGUAAUAAAUCAAUACUAUUUAUAUUACGACACUUUUCUCUGUUUCUCUUAUAUUUUGUCUUUAAUAUUCUUAAUCAUAUUUUUAACAAAAAUAUUCAAACACUUCAGCAAUGGUUCACCUAGUUGAUCAUCGAAGCAGAGGCAAUUCCAAUUAUUUAUCAAUAAAUAGGAUAUAACUACCAAACAAGCGAUGGCAGUUAACCCCUCCUUACUGUGUCGGUGAUCAAGGUACGCCCGUUAAUCACUGCUCUAAUUGAGAAAUAAUCCUAAGUACGCCCGUAGAAUUUAAUUCCCCAAUUGCCUUACAUAUUAGAGGAGCCCUAUUCUAACCAAAUAACGCACUAUCAGGGUUAUUUUAGAUUAGCCCGCGUAUUCCCCUGACAUAAAUCUAAUCAUGCCAGUUGUCAUUAUUUUGAGGUAAUUAAACAAUUACGGAUUUAACACCUCAAUUGACAAUAGAUUAUUAAAUUAAUUAAUUAUUCGGAUCCAAGACAAUCAAUUAAUUAAACAACCAUAAGCACUACAAUCAGAGAAUAUGCAAAUACCAAUAAAUAAAUAAAAAAUAAAAUUAAAUCGAUCUCACAAUUUUUAGGCGAAUCAGAGCAUCCGUUGUCCCUUGACUAGAGCAAGGAAAUUAGUUCAUAUUUGAUGAACUAAACCCAUACAAAAGGGAAGCGAGAAAUGCAGCCAUUAUCCUUUGAAAUCUGGAAAAUUCAACUUGUCCGAAUAUCGAAUAGAUAGUAAUACUACAAAAGGUAAUUCAUAGCUUCCCUUUCGUCUGACACACAAGAAGAAAAAAAAGGGCUGCUAAUAACUAAAGGAGGAAAAGUCAAAGUCCUAAGCUAUGCUACAAGACGAAAAACUAAAGAAGACAAAAAGGCAGUGCUCAUUCCCUGCAAUCUCAAUUCCUAUUCUAUCUAAGUGCUCUCCAAUGUGCGGCGGCUCCCCUUCCGGAGAGGACGAAGUGGCACCCUUUUUUCCUGCGCAAUUUUCCUAUAUAAAGUAGUGCUCCUUGCAGCGGCUCCUGUGCGAAAAAAUGAAGACUUCGGCCCAAUUUGCCUAACAAGGGCUCACGUUUUGUUGUUCUAAAAAUGUCCCUAGGACAAACUCUAUCAUCUGAACUCUUUUCUUGCCAAAUUAGUACCUGUUAUUAUAUUUUCGUUCUACUCCCUGAAAUAAAUGCAAAAUAUCAAAAGUGAGUAGAAUCUAGCAAUUAAUCCACAUUAGGUCAGGUAAUAGGGAAAAUUAAUAAUAAAAUAAAUGAUAAAAUUGCAAUCUAUCACGGGACCACUGUGGUAAGGUGUGUUUCGCCUAUUAUAAGGAGUUCGGAGAGUUAGACGUGUUGGAGGCGGAGGCGCGGUCACUCCUGCACGCCCUCCAGCUGUGUGCAGAUCGCGAGGUACGGGCGUUGACUGUAGAAUCUGAUUCAAAGGUGCUUGUUCAACUAGUUUGCUCGGAUAUGAGGUCGAAGUGGCCGGUGUGUAUCGUAUUGCGGGAAAUAAGACAUUUGAUCCGGCGGAUGGGUGCAUCCCUUCAUCAUAUAUUCCGUGAGGCCAAUUCGGUGGCGGACGCAUUGGCUUCUCUGCAAUUGGGAGGGCAGCAGUACUACACCUCAGGCGUGGCGCUGCCUUUCAGGCCCAGAGGAGAGGCUCUGCUGGAUCGUCAAGGAGUACCUCGCAUCCGUGAGGCGCUCACUAAGGUUUGAUAGGCUAUGUCCUCCUUUCAAAAAACUUAUUUCAUCUACUCCUUGUAAUCAUUUUUCUUAUCAAUAAAUUGAGGCUUUUUAUUUAAAAAAAAACAUAUAAUUUAAGGCAAAAAUAUGAUCCUAGCGAGUAUCGCACUGAGACAUUAGGAAACAUCAUUAAAAGAGUAUUUCUUGAGUUAGUGCAACUAUUUCUUAGGGGAAUUUAUAGUUACAAAAUUCAAAAAUUUGAGAUUCUAUUACUGAUUAAUUAAGGGCGUUAUCACUAUUUUUCUUAUUAUCACCAUUAUUUACCCCACAUACUAUAAGUUUUUUUAGGGCACAGGAAAAGAGGUGGGCCGAUGUUUAGUUAUGUACAAAAGUUCAAAAUUUGUAGAUAACUUAUCAUGUGCCCUUAGAGCGUAGAAUACAGAAAAAAUAUCUUAAACUAUAACUAAUCCUAAUAUUUUUCUCUAUGAUAAACUAGCUCUUAUCCAUUUCUUUAGAUGAUGAAAGGAAAUAGUUAGUCACCUGUCCUCUAGUGAUUACAACAGCAUCAAAACAAAUUAGCACUCUUUUCCCGUAGUUUAAAAAUCCCUCAGCCACUAAGAUUUUGCAUGUCGAACGAAUUAAGGAACAUAGAAGGUUCGUGCUGCACCACAGUGUCCUUGUUGACGAUGCAAAGACAGAAAUGCAUCCGCGUAUACUUCCUUAAGCAUUUUGAUUACUUUAUGAUUCGAACUUUUCUUGUCUGACAGCUGGACUUAAUUGAAAAACACAAGUAACAAUAUUUCAAAGUUGAUUCGUCAAAGUUUACCCAAUUGGUGAAACUUUCUUCAUAGAGCUGACUUUGUAUUAGGUGACAAUGAUAUGGAAUUGAUGUCCUUCCCUUUUUCCUUUUUUUGUGUUGAAGACGCACAACGUUUUCAAUGGCAAAUUUAUAUGGGCUUUUCACGACAAAAUGUGUUCUGAAAAGUUCAUUCCAGAGGUUAAAAUUUUGUGUGUUAAAAAUUUGCUUCUCAGGACUUUGAUGGGAAAGUCUUGGUGUUUCCAAAAAGUUUAAGCAGGAUGCUUCUGGCUUUCUCUCCAUGUAUUUGUGAGUUAGAUCUAAAAUUAUCAGGGCUCCAGAGAUCUCUUGAAAUCGCAGCAUAUAUUGAAGUCUUUCCAGAAGGAGUCUUUUUUUUUUUUUUUAUGAAUUAUGAUAGAUAAUUAAUCUGACGGUGCAUAUAUAUAUAUAUGUGAUUUGCAGUAGGGUGUUUGACGAAAUGGUUAGGCUUCCUAAGUAAUGAUAGGAAUGCCAUUUGCAAAGAAGGACAGGGGGCUGGUGCUGUCAUAUUUUAUGCGAUUUGAUCCGUUGUUGUAUAAGUUUAAACUUUUGACGUGCAAUUGUGCUAUAAUAUUAUACUAAAUAUAUGUGUGAAAUAUUUUGUCUAUAUACAUCACUUUUAUCAUGAAUACAACAGCUGAGUAUAAUAAUAUAGUAUAAUGUAAUUGUACACCAAAUAAUGUAGCAAAUAUAACAAUUGAUCCGAAUUACACGGAACCAUAACAACAAGAUCACCGCCUCCCAAAUUUUACAAAAUUAGGUUUUUUUUUUUUCUCUUAGAUUAUUGAAAAUUUUCAAAAAUAAUCUACAUAAUUUAAGCUUUUGUCCUACAAAAAUUUGAAGAGAUUUUACAUUACAAGCUUAAGCUUAGAUAUAUUAAACUUUGCCCCCAAGAUUAAUUUUCCGUUUUUAUCUAUGAACCGAUCCAUAUAGCUAGUUAGACUGUAGUCCUCACAUUUGUGGGAUUUAACACCCAAGAUUCUCCUUCUUGGAAUGUAAAAUGUAGAUCUUCUAUGUUAAUAAUUCAAGACCCUACUGUCAUAAACGAAAUGACUGAUCAACUCCUGUAAACCUAAUUUGACAACAUUUAAAUGGAGAACUUUAGCUAAAAGAAUUAUGGUCAAGCUAAAGAAAAAGCCAGUUAUUUUCCAACAUAUGCAAUCAUUGAUCAGGAAAAAAAAAAAAAAGCAAAAAGACAUCUUCAAUCAUUUAAUAGCUCACAGUGCAAAUUAACCCCUAAGCGAAAACUGGUUGCUCUAGAAUCAAAAUUUUACCUUAGUUACCCAGGCAACUUUUUUGUUGCUUUUUUUUUUUUCUUUUCCUUUUUGGGUAUAUAUAUAGCUCCAGUUUUGCCCCCUCUGUCAAGCUUAUAUAAUUAUUAAGAUAAUAAAAGUGCCUUGAAUAGUAUUAAUAUAUCCAUUGACUUGAGCUGUCAUCGAUCGGUUUGGGCUACUUCGAUUCCAUGAGAACAAAUGGUAAUAAAAGUACUCAGAAAAUAGGGAGCCAUGAAACCCUUUUGUUCUAUUCAUUGCUAAGAUGCUUUUCUCUAUAAAGAGACUUCCUAACGAAAGUACUUUGUAGAUUUCUUUACUCCAAGUGGUGCAUGGAAAAUUAAAAUAUUCAAUUAUCAAAUAAAAUUCCCUUUUUUCGGUGUAGAUUUCAUCCAUCCAGCUGUUAACACAUUUUAUGUAUCCGAAUUAUAUAUUCUCUACCAAAUAUUGUAACUUUUCUGAGCAUCUUUACAUUUUUAUUCCCACCUAACAAAUUAGUUGUUGAGCAUCUUUACAUGCUAUCGGAUCACAAGUUAAUAAUCUUUUAAAGAACAUGUUAAAUUAAUUUAUUGGUAUGAAUAGUCAAAGAAGUAUAUUAAAGUUAGUAAUCUUUAAACACCACGAUGCAAUUAAUACUUUCAAGCUCAAGGUCUUUUUUUUUUUUUUUUUUGGUACUGUACUUCCUUGCUUUAUAGUAUGCACGUUUAUUUCUGUGGAUUGCUUAAGCUUAUAUUGUUAAUAAUUGGGCAUUUAACCAUAAAUUAUAAUGAUUAUGAAGUCAUAUAUAUAUAUAUAUAUAUAAGAAAAUUACCACAAUUAUUCAAUUUUUUUUGCAAAUUCAAAUUUUAUUAAUAAGAAAUAGGCAGUAAGCUUUUACAAACGGAAAAAAAAAAUCCUACAACAACUCUAGGACCUUUGAAAGAAAGAAAAAAAAAAGAAAAGAAAAGCUUAAGGACUCUACCUCAUAGAAGCUAAACAAUCCUACAAAUAAACUGCAAAAUAAAUCACAAUAACGCAAAAUUUUUGUCUUUCUUCCGUAUGAAAUGAAACUACGAAGUCAAGAAUUGACUCCUUUAACCGCUAUUGCCAGCGGGCUCCGUCAGCAAGAUACAACUUUGCAAUUUGAUUCAAUAGAAAUCCUCAAAUAGCUAUUUUGACAGGCAAAUUAAGCAUUAAUUUUGGUAUCCCUUCAUAAAAUACAAGAGUACUUUUGAUUAUAUCUAUAGAUCAACUUUCUAGGCUAUUUUGAUGUAUUAUAAGAAAAUCUGCCUCAACAAUUUUGAUAGCAUUUUUCCAAAAGCAGAAGAUGGAAAAUUGCCCAUUUGUACUGGGGAGUUCGUGAUCUUUUCCUCCUUCUAGUCUACUUACAAUUCUUGGAAAAAGGAAUACUCACAUCUCAAACAACUGCCUGUUCAUCUGCAAUGUCCUGCCGAAUUCUAGAAAGUUAGGUGGCAAUGCUAAUUACAUUUCAAAAUUGACUGCUGCGAUGACUAAUUCGAUGGCUUACUACAUGGUCAACGUUUGGAUCCCUUCCUGUCCUUUUUGGAUGCACAUUUUUUUUCUCUAGGCAAUAUAUAAUCUCCCAACUCAUUUCUUUACAAAUGCACCUUUAAUCACCACCAAAAGGUGUGGACAUGAUCUUUACCCUAGAAAACUAAUCACCGACAGGCAAAUUGACGUCAGAAAUACUAAGAGGAAUUCUAGUUUCCUUCGGGUUAAUGCCAUUUUGUACCCUUCAACUGUAACUCGAUUUCUAAACUAUAAUUUGUGACAUUAUAGUCCUUAAACUAUGAAACCCCUCUUACUUAAGUACAAUGGUUAAUACAAUACCCGUGACUAGACAAGCAACCAUAACAAAAAAAAAUCCAAAAUUAGAGAAAAGAAAGAAGUUUCGCGACCAAAGUAUGUAUCAAGGCAUAGUAUAGAAAUAAAAGUGUCCAAAUUAAGAGUUUAGGGAUAAAAGAGAUCAAGAUAUAGUUUAGGGAUUGAUUUGUCUCAAUUAGAGUUUUGAUGUCAACUAAGAAGAGAGAUAUAGUUGAAGGGUAGAAUAUAGAUAUAACAGUUCAAUGAUUGAUAUCAACGAGACAAUGACAACUUUGGAUUAUUACCAACCUCUUCUUGAUGGGAAAAGGAAAUAGAGAAGAAAGUCGGGCCUGGUCUAAGCCUGCUUCGGAGGCAAAACAACAUUAUGAAAUCACCGGCAUUCACACAAAUAUGUCAAAGUCACCGGCAUGCUAAGUUGCAUAAUUUAUACAAACACUGAAUAAUAUAUUGUUCUUAAAAUUUUUGUUUAAGAUUUAACAAUUAGAGCACGGUACACGAAUUAGCAAUAUUAAAUAAUGAAUGUUCACGAUUGAUAAAGUUAUCAAAGUACAGUUUGAGGACAACCCAUUCCAACGUGUACAAGAUGUUUAGCCUUUGAAAAGUUAAUUAGAGAAGGUGACGAGAUUUUACUAGGCUUAAAUCUUCUAGGCCUCGGAAGUAAAAAAUGAAGGCCUUUGAGUGCUAUAAAAAGGGGGCUAGAUGUUGCCUAGAAGCAUAUCAGCCUCAGACCACAUUUUGUAGCAAUGGGGAGCAAAGCAAAAGCAAUGGGGUCUAGGCUGACUCCUCUUCUUACCACCGUUUUAGUGGUAUUUGUUGCUCUUGGCUUGCCUUCAGAAACUGUGGCUGAUUACUACAAGUAUUCAUCUCCUCCUCCUCCUUACCAUUAUUCCUCACCACCACCUCCUGUGCAUUCACCUCCACCACCGCCAAUUUAUAAGUCACCCCCACCACCUUACCACUACUCCUCACCGCCACCUCCAGUGUAUUCAUCUCCACCACCACCUUCGCCAGUUUACAAGUCUCCGCCACCACCUUACCAUUAUUCGUCACCACCGCCUCCGGUGCAUUCACCUCCACCACCACCUGUUUACAAGUCACCUCCACCACCUUCGCCAGUUUACAAGUCUCCGCCACCACCUUACUAUUAUUCGUCACCACCGCCUCCGGUGCAUUCACCUCCACCACCACCGAUUUACGAGUCACCUCCACCACCUCCUCCAGUUUACAAGUCUCCGCCACCACCUUACCAUUAUUCCUCACCACCACCUCCAACGCAUUCACUCCCACCACCAGUUUACAAAUCACCGCCACCACCUCCUCCUAUGUAUAAGUCCCCUCCACCACCUUAUCAUUAUUCCUCACCACCACCUCCAGUGCAUUCACCCCCACUGCCACCAAUUUACAAGUCUCCGCCACCUCCAAUCUACAAGUAUAAGUCACCACCACCUCCUCCCCCAAUUUACAA